CGCUUUCAUGUUUUGUAGUGACGAUGCCGAUUACACGCUCUCAAUCUGCCGGAGCGGACAAUACGGCGAACUUUGAGGAGGUCGAGACCUCCGCUACCUCCGGAUCCAGCGAGGUUCGUGAGUUGAGGGGCCAGCUUGCGGCCCUCACUGAUUUAGUCACUCAGCAGGCGGAGGCGGCCCGACAGCAGACUUAGGCGGCGCGCCGACAGGAGGCGCGGAUGAAGCACCUGGAGGACCUUUUACUGUAGCAGGCAGCAGCCUCUAGGGAGACUCAGGACCCUACACCGCCAGCACCAGUUGUGGACGUCGCACCGAGAGCGCCGUCCCCCGCGCCGAGUUCUUCGCGUGCGGCGCCUGUGGCCGCACCCCAGGAGGAGGUUUUGGUGGCACCACCUGUGCAGAGGCCCCCGGUUGGAGCUACAUUCCCUACCUUGGUUGAGGGGGCGGAGCGAGACAGACUGAUAGAGCGCCUCAAUAAGUUCAGGCGGUGCAGUCCUCGAGUCUUCGACGGCAAGAAGGUCGACCACUGGAUUGUGGAGAAGUGGUUGAUGCAUAUGGAGAAGCUCUUCCGCGACACCUUCAUGGAGGAGAGGGAUCGAGUUUGGCUCGCCACUCACCACUUGGACGACGAGGCCUACCGCUGGUGGUUGGAUCUCCAGGAGCACCCCAGCACUGACUUGGCGGCUAUCACUUGGACGAGGUUCAAGGAGCUUCUUUUGGCCCAUUACUUUCCGACUAGCGUCAUGCGAAAGAUGGAAACCUACGCAACUUGCGCCAAGGCGACCGGACUGUGGCCGAGUACGAGCGGGAGUUUUCUCGUCUUUUGCAUUACGUGCCUUUCGUCGUGCGGGACGACGAGCACAAGGCACGCAUUUUCAAACGAGGAUUGAGACCGUCCAUCUUUCGGUUCGUGCAAUCCUCUAACCUCCAAACCUACCAGGAGGUAGUGGAUCGCGCGCUCAUUGUGGAGAGCGGCGCGACAGAUGUCCAGGAGCAGCGAGAGGCUAGGGACAAGGGUAAGGCCAAGAGGCCUGCGGCAGAGGGUGCGAGCCAGACGCACUCUAGGAGGCCGCCGAAACAUCCGAGGAGUCAGCAGUGUGGACGCGGCUCAGCAGCCUAUCGAGGAGGAUCCGAUCGGCACCGGCCUUCCCCGUGUGUGAUCUGCGGUGGUCCCCAUUUCCGACCGCCGUGUCGACAGCGGGCGGGCAGGUGUUUCCAGUGUGGCCAGGAGGGCCACGUUCGUACUGAGUGCCCGAGAGGUUCUUCACCGGCACCGUCGACUGCAUCGGCACAGGCCCUACCAGCCGCCAGCCAGGGGACUCCAUUGGCGCAGUACCAGUCUGGGCGGCCACUCAUCCAGCGCCAGAGCGAGGGAUCCCGACAGGCCCUGAGUGGGCGCAUGUAUGCCGCUCAGACCGAGGAGGCGGCAGCAGCCAAGGAUGUGGUUGCAGGUAUCAUUUUACUUGAUGGCAUUAGAGUACGUGCUUUAUUUGAUACCGGUGCAUCGUAUUCAUUUAUAGAUCGGCUGUUUGCCGAGUUGCAUGGCAUCCCAUUGGUUUCUUUGUUGCAUCCGGGACACGUUGUUGUACCCAAUCACAUUUUGGAUAUUAGAGAGUACAGCCCCAGUUGCCCUGUUCGGAUAGGAGAUUGGAUCAUGCCGGUAGAUUUGCUAGCUUUGCGCAAGCUUGGGGAUUUUGAUGUAGUCUUGGGAAUGGAUUGGUUAACCAAAUAUUAUGCCACGAUUGAUUGCAAGAAUCGCACGGUUACUUUUAGAGAACCGGGGCAGACCGAGGUGAUAUUUAGUGGAUGCUGGAGUUCGCUGUUUGCGAUGACGAUCAGCUCGUCUCGAGCUAGGCAGGUGAUCAGCAGAGGUUGUGUAGCCUAUUUGGCUAGUGUUGUGCUGAGGGGCGAGGAUGACACCCCUAGGAUCGAGGAUAUUCCGGUGGUGCGGGAGUUCCAGGAUGUGUUUCCAGCUGAGCUACCGGGCAUGCCUCCUGAUAGGGAGAUUGAGUUUGUGGUAGAUCUCGUCCCUGGGACUACCCCAAUCUCAAAGGCACCCUAUAGGAUGGCACCGGCAGAGCUGAGGGAGCUGAGGGCACAGCUGUAGGAUUUGUUGGACAAAGGCUUCAUACGGCCGAGCGUUUCACCUUGCGGAGCACCCGUUUUGUUCGUCAAGAGGAAGGACGGAUCACUUCGCCUUUGCGUGGACUAUCGUGAACUUAAUAAGGUCACGAUUAAGAACAAGUAUCCGUUGCCGAGGAUCGACGACUUGUUUGAUCAGCUUCAGGGAUCGUGUGUGUAUUUCAAGAUAGACUUGCUGUCACAGCCCGCGAGCCCCGCCUAUUUGGUCGAGGUCGCGGCGCCGACAGCGCCGAACGGACCGGGGAUUCCCCUGUACCGCGGACAGAGUCUCCCCUGUACGUUCAAGGCAUCGCAAUCAAUACAAUUACAACAGGUUCCAAACAGGAACAGUAUUCAACAUACAACGAUUGCAUAAGGAAGGUAUCAAACAACAUAAACACAUCCUAAGUUAUUACAAGCAUUCACAUUCAUACUUUUUACAUCCCAAUUACUAUUCCUUUACAUCCCAAUGCAAUCUAAGUUAUUACAUCAUUUACUCAUUACAAUUUGAUACAUUGUGUUCUUUCUAUUUUCUAUACCCCUAAGCUAUGUCGACGGGGUACUACUAGCUCUGGUCUCUGUGGUAGGGUGCUAACUACGGAGCUACGCCCUCGCCUCGCGCCAUCGCGCCGCACUCGUGCAAACCUGUAACACCCCAAAAGCAACGUGGGGUGAGAACUAACUCCAUAGUUCCCAGUGGGUACGGCCACCCAAGGAAAAAGCUCGACCGACAUGUCCGAAGGAGGCAAGCUACAGGUUAGUUCAAUAAACAGAUAGAUAUGAUAAUAAGAUCAUGCAACUAACAAUGCCAUGCAUUGCCUCGCGAUAUGCAAUCUGAAGAUCAUGCAAUAAUGCAACUAUACAACCAACUAGUAAUUCAAUCGAUUACUACUUUCAUCCAAUUGACAUUUAAGGUUUUCUGUCAUGUACCAUUUUAAUCAUAAGGUUUCAUCUACCUUUACAAAGCUAGCCGCCCGACUCGGUCUUGAGUCAAUCAUCUGCGGAGUACCGCACAAAGCCAGGCACGAGGCGAAGGACAUCUCACUUGCACCUCGGCCUUAAAUCCCCUCAAGUAGGACAAUCACUAUAGGUCAUAAGCUUGUUACCCAAUCACUUGGCUAACCCGAAGGGGGUCGCCCUCAAUCUCACAUCUCAAAGUCUCAUAGGGGAGAAGUCUCACUGAACUGUCCCCCGAGACCGCCUGCGGACAGCACACAGACCGUCCAGACAGCACACUGACUGUUCCCCUAGUGACCAACCUCCGGAGUGCACAGCUUGUGGGGAGCGACCCCUCCAAGCGCAGACAGGCUAUGUGAGCACGAUCAACUCACGAACAGCAGCAACCUACCCUCUAAGGGUAAUCUCAUCAUGGAAUCAAGGUAUAAUUGUACCCAAUCUCAUAGUGUCUCAACUACACUAAUGUUCUCAUAUCAAGGUCAUCAACAAUCAUAUGCCAUUCAUCAUAGUUUUCUAACUAGAUGCCACUCGUCAUUUAGACUCAUCAUCAACACUAGUUACAUCAUACUAGUUCUUUAGCAACAUAAGCAUCAACCAUCACAUAUAGGGUCUAGGUUCUUAUCCACAUUUAUCAUCCCAUUGUAGGAAACCAAACAUAUCAUUAUAUUAAUACUACAUUGUAUUCCUAAUGUCAAGUUUUCUAAUCAUCCAAGAGUUUUAGACCCAAGUCAACAUGCAUAUGCUAAUUAGCAUAUGUUACUCAACAUAGUCCACAAAUACAUUAACAUGCUUAUGUUCCAACUUGCAUAAUAUAACCUAUGCAUUCAUACAACAUCAUUUUCAUGCAUCUCUCUAACAUUUAGUUCAUGCAUCUCUCUAACAUUUAGUUCAUGCUUUCAUCUAACAUUCAACAUAUUAAUUGCCAUUGUCCACUAGCAUGCAUUAUAUUCAUAUGCAAUUAUCAUGUAAUAUACAUUUCUCACAUUAUAUGCAUUUACCCAAUCUUCACAUCAUAUGCAUCAUAUAGCAUUUAACCCAUUAUAUGCAUCAACUAGGAAAUCAUAUUUUUUUCUUCGACAUGAGGGCGACCUAGUCGCUUCGGUAAGCACAACCCCCCUGUUAGCGCAUUCCGAUUGCUUGUCGACACUUGCAAUCGGCCUCCCGCGGCAUCCGGUGCCCGGUUUGGCGUGAUCUCUCGCGCGAUCACCCGAACAGCCUCCAAUUCACAAUCCGAAAAUUAAAGGUCUUCGGUUAUGUGCCACGAUGCUUCAAAUCCGUUUUCAUGAGUAUACGACGUCGCCUCGGCCCUCCAGGCGAAAAUGAAGCCUAAACGUCCGUUUCUUUAAUAACUUUGUAACGGCUCGUCGGAUUGCCGAACCGUCUUCGCCAACGCGUUUCGUUACCUAGCAAUUAGGUUUACGGAGGGUCAAAUUAGAUCAAACCCUCAUAUUUUAAAAAUUAGCAUUUUGAACCCUAGGUUUACAACUAGAUAAAAAUCCACCAAAUUUCUUCGUGAAUCAAGCAUCAUUCAUCUAGUUAGCGUGCUAGGAUUCCUCUAAAUCCAUUUGUAAGGUAUUUAGACCAACCAUUAAGGAUCUACCAUUAAAGGGGUUUGAAGCUUACCUCUCAAGCAAGCUCCAAUGGAGAGGAAGAACAUGAAGGAGAUGAAGAUCCAUUUCCAAGCUUGCUUCUCCACCAAUUUCAUCAAUUUUGGGAGAGAAUUAGAGAGAGAAAAGGGAGGUUUUGUCUCUCCCAUUCCAUGUAUGCGUGUGUGUGCGUGAUGCGUGUGUGUGUGUGUUGCAUUCGGCUGAGGAGGAAGGAGGAGAAAAGGGAUUUAAUCCCAUUUUGCAAGUUAGCCCCUCAACUAUUCAACCUUCCAAUUUAGUCNUUUUUCUUCGACAUGAGGGCGACCUAGUCGCUUCGGUAAGCACAACCCACCUGUUAGUGCAUUCCGAUUUCUUGUCGACACUUGCAAUCGGCCUCCCGCGGCAUCCGGUGCCCGGUUUGGCGUGAUCUCUCGCGCGAUCACCCGAACAGCCUCCAAUUCACAAUCCGAAAAUUAAAGGUCUUCGGUUAUGUGCCACGAUGCUUCAAAUCCGUUUUCAUGAGUAUACGACGUCGCCUCGGCCCUCCAGGCGAAAAUGAAGCCUAAACGUCCGUUUCUUUAAUAACUUUGUAACGGCUCGUCGGAUUGCCGAACCGUCUUCGCCAACGCGUUUCGUUACCUAGCAAUUAGGUUUACGGAGGGUCAAAUUAGAUCAAACCCUCAUAUUUUCAAAAUUAACAUUUUUGAGCCCUAACAUGAAAUAACCUCCAAAUAAUCCAAAUUAAAUGGAGCAAUAUGCUAAUAAUGAUCAUUAGAGACUACUAGAACUCUUAAAGCUAAGGAUUAAGCCAAAUCCCAAAAGCUUACCCCAAUGUGAACGCCGCAACGAAAACACGCCGCUCCAACGGGCGCACGAAAGCUCGAUCCGUCGCCUCCAACGCGUUCGCAAGCUCGAUCUCCACCAACCCUCCAAUUUUUAGAGAGAGAUAUAGAGAGAUGAGAGAGAUAUUUAGAGAGAGAAAGGAGGGUUUCUCUCCCCCUUCCAUGCGUGCGUGUGUGUGUCCAUGGUGGCGGUGGUCGGUUGAAGGAGAAGAAGCUGAUGCUUCUAAUUAAAGUCAACACCAACAUUAUUCACUCCAAGCAACUUAAAAUCUGAUAUCUUUCACCGGAGCUCCCUGAAUGUCCGUUUGAGCUCAAACUUGACAGUCAUGUUCGGUUUUACGUACUGAGUAAGAAUAUAUUUUAAGUUUUCAGUUUCGACCCCGUUUGGUUACCGAAAACUGUACCGAACUGUAAUCUUUAUCAGAUAACUGUCGGAUUUUAUUUCUCACUCUACGGGCGUCAGAAAAAUAUGAAACUUUAAAUCUAGCCUCAUUAAAAUAUUACUGACAUCCCCGCCAAUUUUCAUAAUUUUCUGAGACUGUGCAUUUUCUACUAAUUUAUCUGUCCCGUUUCUCACAGAAAAUUUUAAAUUUUUUAUUUUCGCUCCGAUUUCAGCACAAAUCAUUUCUGAUUUAUGUUUUACUCCUCUAAAUCCAAUAAAAAUAGUAUCUCACACUAUUUUUAUUUAUUUUUUAUUUUUAUAUUUAAAAUCCGGUAUGUUACAUUACACCGUAACUUCACCGGAACCAUUUAAAUGUACACCGUAACUUCAUAGCUUUAGAAGUCCGGUACCAUACACUUGCAGUCGGGAUAACACCAAUUGAAGAUCAAACCCGAUGAUGUUUCGAAGACGGCUUUUAGAACACGGUAUGGACACUAUGAGUUCAUUGUCAUGCCGUUUGGGCUUACUAAUGCCCCGGUAGCUUUUAUGGAUCUAAUGAACCGUGUUUUUAAGCCUUAUCUAGACAGGUUCGUCGUGGUAUUCAUCGACGACAUUUUGGUAUAUUCCCGAAGUGAUGCAGAUCACGAGGAGCAUUUGAGUUUUGUACUCCAAGUACUUCGGGAAAAGGAGCUUUUUGCCAAGCCGAAAAAGUAUGAAUUUUGGCUUCGAGAGGUAGCCUUCCUUGGACAUUUGAUAUCGGGAUCAGGUAUUGCGGUGGAUCCCAAGAAGAUUGAGGCUAUCCAGGAUUGGCCGAGACCGACGAGCGUCACGGAGAUUCGGAGUUUCCGUGGACUGGCCGGCUACUACCGGAGAUUUGUCGAGGGGUUUGUUAAGUUAUCUACUCCCCUCGCGAGGCUCACGCAUAAAGGAGUCAAGUUCAUUUGGAAUGAUGCAUGUGAGAGAAGCUUCCAAGAGUUGAAACAACGAUUGACUACCGCCCCGAUCCUGACCCUACCAGUAACUGGAGCAGGGUAUGUGGUAUAUAGUGAUGCUUCACUUAAUGGUUUGGGCUGUGUGUUGAUGCAGAAUGGUAAGGUGAUCGCGUAUGCUUCUCGCCAACUGAAGGAAUAUGAAAGGAACUACCCAACGCAUGAUUUGGAGCUGGCCGCCGUAGUGUUCGCAUUGAAGCUAUGGCGCCACUAUCUUUAUGGCGAGCGGUGUGAAGUAUACACGGAUCACAAGAGCUUAAAGUACCUGUUUACUCAGAAGGAGUUGAACUUGAGGCAGCGCAGAUGGUUGGAGCUACUCAAGAAUUAUGAUCUGACGAUCCUUUACCACCCGGGCAAGGCUAACGUGGUAGCGGAUGCGCUAAGUAGGAAAUCGAUGAAAAACUUAGCGAUGCAUGUUGUGACUCAACCGCAGUUGAUCGAGCAGAUGAAGCGGUUGGAGUUGGAGAUAGUGACUCCUGACACACCCUUGAGGUUGAUGACCUUGGUAGUGCAACCUACUCUUUUGGAUAAAAUCAAAGAGAAGCAAGUUUCCGAUUUGGAAUUGCGAAAGAUUCGAGGUAAAAUGGUUGAUGGUUGCACCGGCGAGUUCCUAGUGGACGACCGAGGGUUGAUGCAUUUUCGCGGACGGACUUGUGUAUCGGCGGAUUCAGGAAUUAAAGAGGAUAUUCUUCAAGAAGCGCACCGAACGCCGUAUGCUAUACAUCCGGGAGGCACCAAGAUGUACAAGGAUUUAAAGUUGCUAUAUUGGUGGCUCGGGAUGAAAAAGGACGUUGGUGAGUUUGUUGCUAGAUGUUUAACUUGCCAACAAGUAAAGGCUGAGCACCGAGUUUUCGCGGGAAAACUUCAGAGUUUACCUAUUCCCGUAUGGAAAUGGGAGAAGAUCACCAUGGACUUUGUGACAGGAUUGCCACGCUCACAGGCUGGGUAUGAUGCUAUUUGGGUGAUUGUGGAUAGGUUGACGAAAUCGGCGCACUUCAUACCUAUUCAUACGACUUGGACCGGAGAGAAGCUCGCACAAGUGUACCUUGAUGAGAUCGUGCGGCUUCAUGGAGUGCCUACAUCGAUUGUUUCAGAUCGAGACAACCGCUUUGUGUCUCACUUUUAGAGGAGUCUGCAAGACGCCUUAGGCACCCGAUUAGAUUUCAGUACAGCAUUCCACCCGCAGAGUGAUGGACAGUCGGAACGCACUAUACAGACCUUAGAGGAUAUGCUCCGGGCAUGUGUGAUAGAUUUCCAGGGAGGAUGGUCACAGCAUCUACCUAUGGCGGAGUUUGCUUAUAACAACAGUUAUCAAGCAAGCAUCAAGAUGGCACCUGUAAGAAAGUAAAUUCUCGAGAUCCGAGGAUUGUACUUCAUCCAGGAUCGACUAAUUGUCGAGAGAAUAUCCUUUGUGAGAGUUGAAAAUGUCCAAAACACAAAAAGUGCUUUGGAGUUGAGUCCGCGAGAGCAAAUGAGGCAAACUGCAUCAUUGGGCUGAUGUUGCUCUCGGGGACCAGUCUCUGGAGGUGAGAGACCGGUUCCCUUGGCUGGGUGUUGCGGGGUUGCAUGAUGCAACCGGUACCUGGUAGGGAGGGACCGGUUGCCGAACGUUGCCCCUGCGAGAAAUACCAAAAAUUGGCUAAGUCCUGAAAAUUUAGCUCUCGGGGACCGGUCUCUCAGGUGAGGACCGGUCUCCCGAGGACCGGUCUCCCGGGGAGAGACCGGUUCCCGAACGCAUACGCCCAAGGGAAGCUCUCGGGGGACCGGUCCCAAGUUGGGGAGACCGGUCCCUCCGCGCGAAAACUGCCCAGUAAGGGCAGUGCACAGGAGCGAAAGUUGAGGGGCUUUCAUGCAAAAUAGCUUUUAUUUGAGUGGGUUGAGCCCUCUCUCUCCCUCACACUCUCAUUUUCUCCCUCUCAUUCUCUCUCAUUGCUCUCUCUCUCUCUAGAAAGGAAAGGAGAAGGAGAAGAACAAGAAGGAGAGGAAGGAAAAAAAGGAGAAGGAAAGGAAGGAGAAGAAAAAGGAGAUCAAGGAGAAGGCUUUGGGCAACUUCAUCUCCCUCUCCUCUUCUCUUUGGUGUAGCACAAGAGGUAGGCUCUUGAACCCUAGCUUCUAAACCUUGGAGUUUUGGGUUUUGAUGCCUAGGAAUGGGUCAAAUGGACCCUAAGCAAGCUUCUAAAUAGAUCAAUCCUAAGAAAUUUAGGGAUUUAUUGGAUGGUUUGCUAUAGGGGCAAACCUAGGGCUCCAAAAUGGGGUUUUUUUUUGUGAAAGUAUGAGAUUGAUCUCAUUUGAAGCCUUGGAAACCCUGUUGUUAGGUCACAAAACGCGGGGGCGAAGUCGAUUUCACGAUUCGGCUAGUGGAUUGGGAGCUAUCGGCGAAAUACGGCCGAUUUAGCCUUGUUUUGGACCAAGAAGGCCGAGACCUCGUCGUAAGGUCCGCCGAGGAGCGUUUCUAAAGCCUCUACAUCGAUAAAAGGUGGGGGGUGCCAUCCCGAAGCUUUCGAACUCCUUUCUAUGUCUUAGAUUGCAUUUAAUCUCAUCUCUUCAGGUUGCAUUGUAGGAUUGCAUAGUAGCUCCAUUCCUUAUGCUUUCUAAAUAAUAACCUAGUCUACUUGGAACGCUUGGUAACUUAGAUAGGUGAGGAUUGGGUCGGAACGUAGAUCCUAUGAUGCGAAAGAAAAGAGAUGUACCCGAUGGGGGUGUUGAUGACAUAGAAAGUGGUGUCAAUGUCAAAGGACAAACGAGUGGCAUCCAAAUGUUAAAUGAUGACGAGUGGCAUUAAUGUAGUGUAAAUAACACUAGAGGUCGAUGGACCUAGGGAUAGGCGGAUCUUAGAAAAUUGCUUGUACAAUGAAUUAUAGGACAAGCUAUUGUGCAAUUACAUGAUAUCGGAACAAGUGAUUCCCGGCGAGAGGAUGUUGAUCAUAGUUAGAGCCUAUUCCUCACUUAGAUGCGGAUGUGAUUGCGGUUGUGGACCCAGGUAUGUGCUUCCUCCUUGGAGAGGCUUUGGAUUUGGUACUUGAUCCUAGAUGUAGGGCAAUCUCAUAAUUGAUGAGGAUAGAUCUAGCUCACAGUCUGGCGUUUGGGGAUGGUUAUAGCCAUCCAAUCCACAAUGGAGGCGGUUAAUUAUCUUCGCAGGUACUCCGGUAGUAGUGUCGUGCGACUAGGCGACUUUGGAGUCUGGACCACCAUGGAGGUCGCAGACGGUCCGGGCUUGGCUGCACUUGGGAGUCCUCUUCCCACUUGGAUGAAAGUGUGAAGUCAUGCGUGAACCUUACAAGGCUCGCCACAGAUUCGGUAAAUGGAAAGGUUAAGGUUUAUUAUAUCAUAUAAAACAUUGCUAUUCGACAUAGAUCGAAUUGUUAGCUAUGAUAGCCAAACUUCGAUUGUUUGUCAGCCCAGGGAACUGCCAAUUUGAAGCCGACCGAAGACGUCAACAGACGACGAACGGACAGAGAGUUUUCUUCCAUAUACGACCAGGUUCAUCACAUGUACAUUUUCAACAAUAGAGAAAAGCAUAGCGGAAAUACACAACAGGCUUAAAGAAGGUAUAGCAAUAGCCAUUAGUGAAUAGAAAAGGAAAGCUAAACAUUCCAAGUAACUAUGAUUUCAUUUUAGAUCAUUAACAUUGCACAUUCAUUGUUAAUUUUAUCGAAUUAAAUUCAUUACAUUCAUUUCAUCAUUUCUUUUUACAUCACAUUUUACCUCAAAAUAGUUUAAUUCUUCUUUACAUCAUAAUCAUCAAAUACAAAAGAUGGAUAUAUAAGGUACUUUACUACAAAAUGAACACAUUGGUGACUCUGACUAAGGGCAGAUAACUUACUCGGAUCGACUCGCCGGCUCGCUCAGGUCCCGGCUCUGUGUGGAAUAGUGAAGGCUAGGAAACUACAACAAAGUUCCAGUGGGUUCUGGACCCAAACAUCACGACUUUACCCCGUAGGACUAACUCAGGCAUAAUAGAAAGGAUAAGUAGGAAUUAUAGUUAACCAUAUCUAUAAAUGAUGUUAAUAUAUGCCCUGAACAAUAGCAGAAAUAUGCUCAGCUUAAAAUAAUGCCAGAGUUAUGCAAAUUCUUUUCGUUCUUUAUCUUUACGAUUUGUUCUUUGUUUAUUAUAUACUUUGUCUUAUGUUCUUUGUUCUUUGUUCUUGUUCUUUAAUUCAAGGCUAAUCAGGGUCGGGUGAUCGCCACAUUGACUUGCUUCACAUUAAGUCCAUCAUCGCAGGAACUCACCCGCUAGGACCGUCCUUACGGGUCUACUCCAACCCGGAUGCAUAACUCCGGAGCGCAUCGCCCGAGGGGGAGCGACCGCCCUCGAGCACGGAACUCAUAGCAAGCAUGAUCGAAAUCCUUAACUCAAAGGAUUGUAUGUUCAAUCUUGACUUUACACUAACUCUAGUGUUCAUUACAUCACUUUAUGUUGCCACUCUAGCAAUCAUUGCUCUUUGCAUUUCCCUUACUUUUGCUAACUCUAGCAAUCACAUUCUUUAUGUCACGCCCCGGGCCUGAUGCCAAUUGGGCCCGACCCGAGCACGUCAAACAGACGCCGAACGGACAGAGUUUCCCUAUCCGCCCAAGGCUCAUCACAUGUACAUUUUCAAUAAGAAGUGCGCUAGCGGAAACAUACACAAACGGCUUACACGAGGGUAAGCAAUAGCCAUUAGUGCAAGAAAAAGGAAACUAAACAUUCACAAGUAAUAUGAUUCAUUUUAGAUCAUAUACAUUGCAUUCAUCUAGUAAUUUAUCGAAUUCUUACAUUCAUUACAUCAUUUCAUUAUUUCUUUCUUACAUCACAUUUACCCCAAUAUAAGCUUUACAUUCAUUCUUUACAUCACUUUGGUUCUUCGGCUCACACUAACUCUAGUGUCACUUUACUUUACGUUUCCAAAUGCCACUCGAUCUAUGUCAUUGUGCCACUCUCUUCUUUUGCUUACUCUGGGUGCUCACAUUUUCUCUCAUGCAUACAUCUAGGGUUUUGACAUUAUUAGGUUCUCAACCAUCUCAUUAUGCAAGUUGUGCUCACAAUCAUNUUUUCUUCAAAACUUCUGCGAUCAACUCUUCAAGACUCCAACGAACUUUACGAAAUUCGCCAACCUAUAAAAUCCUUAACACACAACUUCCUGGAGCUGCUCGAAUCGAGCCUCCUGGCGCUGCAUCGCGCCGAACAUUGCAGCGACCUGCUCCCGUAGUUCCUGCAUUUUCUCCGAUCUUGGCUGCUCGGGCUCCGCAGAAGGCGGUACCGGAGCAGACCUACGCACAUACCGUCUCGGGGACAUUUGCUCCUGAAAAGCAACAACUCGAUUAGUUAUCUUAAUCUGNCAAGGAUCUAUCCAUUACUCACCUAGCCGUCUCGAUCACUACACAUCCGAGACCGUCUGCGGGACCCCAAAUAGGCCAUCCCUCGGGAUCCCAAGUAGGCUAUCCCUAUCCCACGGGACCCCAAAUAGGCCAUCCCUCGUGACUGACUCCGGAGCGCACUACUUGUGUGGAGCGACCACCACAAGUUGUGUCACGCCCCGGGCCCGAUGCCAAUUGGGCCCGACCCGAGCACGUCAAACAGACGCCGAACGGACAGAGUUUCCCUUAUCCGCCCAAGGCUCAUCACAUGUACAUUUUCAAUAAGAAGUGCACUAGCGGAAACAUACACAAACGGCUUACACGAGGGUAAGCAAUAGCCAUUANCUCCUAGGUCAUCCUAGACUCUCUCUUUACUUGCUCUUGGCUUUGAUACCACGUUAUCUGUCACGCCCCGAGACUGCUACCAAUUUGGUUCGGUCCGGGCCCGUCGAACAGACGCCGAACGGACAGGACCUCCCCUGUCCGCCCAAGGCUAACCAAAAGAUCAUAUAUAAGAAUUUACCCAAGAAUCAAUUCAUAGAUACACGAUCACGAGGAGCACCACCAGUGCUAACAAGACGAGAGCAAGAUACAAGUAUGGAAACAUAUACAAAUACAUAAAGAGAGAAGAUGCUAUCUAUUACAUUCAUUUGACUUAAUACAUUUAAUUACAUCUUUUACAUUCUUCCAAAAUAUAAAUACAAUCACUCAAACCUCACCCUAUACAACAUCUACUCUCAAACAUAAUACAGGGUAAAGCUAAUGCAAAAGGUAGGUAGCUAAUGCAACUAGAGCGCUAGGCCCUUACCGCGAUCCUCGAGCUCACCCGGGACACCCGAACUCGAACCUGUAAAAAGUGGGGUGAGAACUAUCUUCCAUAGUUCCCAGUGGGUUCGGCCGCCGACUCCGCCGGUCUCCUCACUAGGUCCAAGUGGGCGCAAGUANNNNNNNNNNNNNNNNNNNNNNNNNNNNNNNNNNNNNNNNNNNNNNNNNNNNNNNNNNNNNNNNNNNNNNNNNNNNNNNNNNNNNNNNNNNNNNNNNNNNNNNNNNNNNNNNNNNNNNNNNNNNNNNNNNNNNNNNNNNNNNNNNNNNNNNNNNNNNNNNNNNNNNNNNNNNNNNNNNNNNNNNNNNNNNNNNNNNNNNNNNNNNNNNNNNNNNNNNNNNNNNNNNNNNNNNNNNNNNNNNNNNNNNNNNNNNNNNNNNNNNNNNNNNNNNNNNNNNNNNNNNNNNNNNNNNNNNNNNNNNNNNNNNNNNNNNNNNNNNNNNNNNNNNNNNNNNNNNNNNNNNNNNNNNNNNNNNNNNNNNNNNNNNNNNNNNNNNNNNNNNNNNNNNNNNNNNNNNNNNNNNNNNNNNNNNNNNNNNNNNNNNNNNNNNNNNNNNNNNNNNNNNNNNNNNNNNNNNNNNNNNNNNNNNNNNNNNNNNNNNNNNNNNNNNNNNNNNNNNNNNNNNNNNNNNNNNNNNNNNNNNNNNNNNNNNNNNNNNNNNNNNNNNNNNNNNNNNNNNNNNNNNNNNNNNNNNNNNNNNNNNNNNNNNNNNNNNNNNNNNNNNNNNNNNNNNNNNNNNNNNNNNNNNNNNNNNNNNNNNNNNNNNNNNNNNNNNNNNNNNNNNNNNNNNNNNNNNNNNNNNNNNNNNNNNNNNNNNNNNNNNNNNNNNNNNNNNNNNNNNNNNNNNNNNNNNNNNNNNNNNNNNNNNNNNNNNNNNNNNNNNNNNNNNNNNNNNNNNNNNNNNNNNNNNNNNNNNNNNNNNNNNNNNNNNNNNNNNNNNNNNNNNNNNNNNNNNNNNNNNNNNNNNNNNNNNNNNNNNNNNNNNNNNNNNNNNNNNNNNNNNNNNNNNNNNNNNNNNNNNNNNNNNNNNNNNNNNNNNNNNNNNNNNNNNNNNNNNNNNNNNNNNNNNNNNNNNNNNNNNNNNNNNNNNNNNNNNNNNNNNNNNNNNNNNNNNNNNNNNNNNNNNNNNNNNNNNNNNNNNNNNNNNNNNNNNNNNNNNNNNNNNNNNNNNNNNNNNNNNNNNNNNNNNNNNNNNNNNNNNNNNNNNNNNNNNNNNNNNNNNNNNNNNNNNNNNNNNNNNNNNNNNNNNNNNNNNNNNNNNNNNNNNNNNNNNNNNNNNNNNNNNNNNNNNNNNNNNNNNNNNNNNNNNNNNNNNNNNNNNNNNNNNNNNNNNNNNNNNNNNNNNNNNNNNNNNNNNNNNNNNNNNNNNNNNNNNNNNNNNNNNNNNNNNNNNNNNNNNNNNNNNNNNNNNNNNNNNNNNNNNNNNNNNNNNNNNNNNNNNNNNNNNNNNNNNNNNNNNNNNNNNNNNNNNNNNNNNNNNNNNNNNNNNNNNNNNNNNNNNNNNNNNNNNNNNNNNNNNNNNNNNNNNNNNNNNNNNNNNNNNNNNNNNNNNNNNNNNNNNNNNNNNNNNNNNNNNNNNNNNNNNNNNNNNNNNNNNNNNNNNNNNNNNNNNNNNNNNNNNNNNNNNNNNNNNNNNNNNNNNNNNNNNNNNNNNNNNNNNNNNNNNNNNNNNNNNNNNNNNNNNNNNNNNNNNNNNNNNNNNNNNNNNNNNNNNNNNNNNNNNNNNNNNNNNNNNNNNNNNNNNNNNNNNNNNNNNNNNNNNNNNNNNNNNNNNNNNNNNNNNNNNNNNNNNNNNNNNNNNNNNNNNNNNNNNNNNNNNNNNNNNNNNNNNNNNNNNNNNNNNNNNNNNNNNNNNNNNNNNNNNNNNNNNNNNNNNNNNNNNNNNNNNNNNNNNNNNNNNNNNNNNNNNNNNNNNNNNNNNNNNNNNNNNNNNNNNNNNNNNNNNNNNNNNNNNNNNNNNNNNNNNNNNNNNNNNNNNNNNNNNNNNNNNNNNNNNNNNNNNNNNNNNNNNNNNNNNNNNNNNNNNNNNNNNNNNNNNNNNNNNNNNNNNNNNNNNNNNNNNNNNNNNNNNNNNNNNNNNNNNNNNNNNNNNNNNNNNNNNNNNNNNNNNNNNNNNNGGUUCCCGAACGUCGUCCCAGCGCAGCCAGAGCUGCUGCGCGCAGUGCAACCGGUCUCUCUUUGUGGGACCGGUCUCUCGGGGACCGGUCUCUCAGGCAGGGACCGGUUCCCGAGAGCUACUUUCUCAGGACUUAGCCGAUUUUUCGGCUGUCUCAUUUCAUACGCGUUCGGGGACCGGUCUCUCCCUUCAGGGACCGGUCCCCGAGAGCUGAAAACCUACAGUUCUGCAGAAUUUGAUUCUUUAGCUCUCGAAAACCUCCCGUAACUCACUUUUGAUCAUUUUAACACCUUCGGACUUUCCGAAGUGUUCCGUCCUCGCACUUUGGUCAAUUUGACUAAAGUUCGAUAUUUAUUUUUCGAAUUUUCGGUAUAUUACAAGUUGGGAGCAGACAAUGAGUAUGAUCCCAAUUCUCCCACCUCAAGGGUACCCUACCCUCUAGGGUUGCUGUCACCAUGGUCAAUAGGUUCUAUGUGCGCUACGACUCACAAUGCCACUCGUUCUUUGUUAAUUAAUUACUAGGUGCCACUCAUUCUUUUAUUUCAACUAUUUUCAUCACUACACUAUAGGAUUACAAAACUCGACCCAAUUCUCAUCAAUCCCCUAUAUCCAGUUACUAAAGCAUAAUACGAUAUCAGAUGGGAAAUCAUAAGGAAAGGCGAUGCACAAUCAUCCUACAAUGCAUAUGAACUAAGGAUACAAAGUCUUAAAAUACUAAGACAUAAGAGGGAGCCCGAUUGCUUCGGGAUGGACACCACCCACCUCUUGGCGAUGCUGCGACGGUAGAAAACUCGACGCUGCGGUCAUUGCACGUCGCUUCCACUCCUCGGGGCGAAGCGAGCCCUCGAGUAUCCGAUUCGGCGAUAACUCCGCACUCGCUCGUCGGAUCGACAAACCGUCUUCGCCGACGCGUCUAAGGACCUAGCAAUUAGGUUUGGGACCCAUUAAAAUAGAUCAAAACCCUAGAUUUGCCAAAAUCCCAAAUCUGUGCCCUAGAAUGGCAACGAGGGAGAAAUCCGUGGUGCGAGCUUCGAUUUCGAGCUCGAACCAUCUCCCUUGCUUCAAUAGGUUCCAUUCGAACCAUUUCCAAGCCAUAAAAUCCUCAAACCCUAAAAACACCAUUAGAGGAUUUAGAGCUUACCUCUAUUUAAAGCUCCAAGCUUGCUCUAGCUUGAAGAAGAGAGGGAAGAAGACCUUCUUCUUUGUCACGCCCCAAGAACGAUACCAAUUUGGGUAGGCCCAAGCUCGUCAAACAGACGCUAAACGCACAGAGUUUCCCCUGUCCGCCCAAGGCUCAUCACAUGUACAUUUCAACAAAGAAAGCACAAGCGAAAACAUACAAAAACGGCUUACACGAGGGUAAGCAAUAGUCAUUAGUGAAAGAUAGGAAACUAACCUUUACACAAGUUCUAUGAUUCAUUUUGAUCAUAUACAUUGCAUUCAACUCGUACAUUUUUGAUUCUUUACCUUUCAUUACACCUUUGCAUCAUUUCUUUCUUACAUCACAUUUACCUCAAAAUAAGCUUUACACUCUUUCCUUUGCUUUAUACAUUAACAUCAUGAAUCAUCAAAUACAAAAGAUGAUAAAAGGGUAGCUACUAACAAAAUGUAACCCAACUUUGGUGGCCUCUGUCUAAGGCGCGAUCCCUUUACCUUGGUCGCUCGCCGGCUCGCUCGGUCCCGGCUCUGUGGAAUAGUGGGGUGAAAACUAUAACAAAGUUCCCAGUGGGUUCGGCUCCAACAUCACCGACUUUCCCACUAGGACUAACUCAGGCAUAAUAGAAAGGAUAAGCUGAAUGUAGUAACCAAUCUAUAAUACAAUGCUAAUAUGCCUGAACAAUAAGCAGGAAAAAAUGCUCAACAUUAUCAUAUGCAGAUUAUGCAAGUUCUUUAGUUCUUUGCACUUUACACUUUAUCUUUGUUCUUUGUUCUUUGCUCUUUGUUCUUUUAAUCUCAAGGCUAACCCGAGGGUUUCGCCCCAUUAACUUGCUUCACAUUAAGUCCAUCAUCGCAGGAACUCACCCGCUAGGACCGUCCUUCGGGUUUACUCCAACCCGUGAUACAUAACUCCGGAGCGCAUCGCCCGAGGGGGAGCGACCACCCUCGAGCACGGAACUCAUAGCAAGUAUGAUCGAAUCCUUAACUUCUAAGGAUUUUAAGUUCAAUCUUGACUUUACACUAACUCUAGUGUUCUUUACAUCACUUUUUGUUGCUACUCUAGCAAUCUUUGUUCUUUACCAUUCAUUACUCUUGCUAACUCUAGCAAUCUUUAUUCUUUACGCCCCACUUUGUUUUCACUUUAGUCAUUAGCAUUAUUCAUUACAUCACAUUGAUUCUUUGCCUCACACUAUCUCUAGUGUCACUUUACUUUACAUUUUCAAAUGCCACUCGAUCUAUGUCAUUGUGCCACUCGGUUCUUUUGGCUCACUUUGGUACUCACAUUUUCUCUCAUGCAUACAUAUAGGGUUUUAACAUUCAUAAGGUUCUCAACCAUCACAUUUAGCAAGUUGUACUCACAAUCAUGCAACAUCACAUUUUCAUCAUCACUUUACCCUAAAAUGCAUGCAACAAUGUAUAUACAUAUGCUCAAUUGAAUGACACAUUAGGCAUAGAGAGAAGUUCAACGAGUUUGGAAAGCACCACCCACCUCGUAGGUCUAUUUAGGUUCUCCGAUGAUUUUCUUGAGAUUUAUAGGCUCCUCGUUCUUCACCUGCGGCAAACGAAGCCAACUUAGGCCAUUUUGCCCAUAUCUUUCUAUAGACUUUUCGUAACGUUAAUCCGAGCGCACCAACCCGUCGGAAAUACCCCCAAUUAGAUUUUUAGAGGGUCAAUUGCACUUAAAAAUCCCCAUGAGCAAAAGCCCCAAUUUGGGUGCCCUAGCUCCAAAGCAUCAUCAAACCUAGGGCUUGAUCUCAUUGGGAAGCAAAAGUAGCUUCAUUAUACUCUAAAAAGUCCAUUAGAACCAUUCUUAGCUCACUCCAAACUCUAGUUUGGAUUUCACCAUGAGAAGUGGGUUGAAGCUCACCUUUGAGCUUUUCAAGGUUUUAAUCUCUAAAGAAGCAAAAAAAAGCUUCAAAACUCCUCAAACAUUCCAUUAAAACCCAUUUCUAGGUCAUUCGAAACUCAUUCUAGGGUUUUACUAUACUAGAGAUCAAAGCUGUCACGCCCCGGGACCGAUGCCAAUUUGGCCCGACCCGAGCACGUCAAACAGACGCCGAACGGACAGAGUUUCCCCUACCCGCCCAAGGCUCAUCACAUGUACAUUUUCAUCAAUAGAGAAAAGCACUAGCGGAAACAUACACAAACGGCUUACACGAGGGUAAGCAAUAGCCAUUAGUAAAAGAAAAAGGAAACUAAACAUUCACAAGUAAUAUGAUUCAUUUUAGAUCAUAUACAUUGCAUUCAUCUAGUAAUUUAUCGAAUUCUUACAUUCAUUACAUCAUUUCAUCAUUUCUUUCUUACAUCACAUUUACCCCAAUAUAAGCUUUACAUUCUUUCUUUACAUCACUAUUCAUCAAAUACAAAAGAUGAUCACAAGGUACUUUACUACAAAAUGAAACCCAACAUUGGUGGCCUCUGACUAAGGCGCGAUACCUUUACCUCGGUCGCUCGCCGGCUCGCUCGGUCCCGGCUCUGUGGAAAUAGUGGGGUGAGAACUACAACAAAGUUCCCAGUGGGUUCGGCCCCAACAUCACCGACUUUCCCACUAGGACUAACUCAGGCAUAAUAGAAAGGAUAAGUAGGAUGUAGUAACCAAUCUAUAACAUGAUGCUAAUAUGCCUGAACAAAUAGCAAGAAAUAUGCUCAACAUUAAUUAUAUGCAGAUUAUGCAAAUUCUUUCGUUCUUUAUCUUUACAUUUGUUCUUUGUUCUUUGUUCUUUGAUCUUUAAUCUCAAGGCUAACCCGGGGGUUUCGCCACAUUGACUUGCUUCACAUUAAGUCCAUCAUCGCAGGAACUCACCCGAUAGGACCGUCCUUACGGGUCUACUCCAACCCGGAUGCAUAACUUCGGAGCGCAUUGCCCGAGGGGGAGCGACUGCCCUCGAGCACGAAACUCAUAGCAAGUAUGAUCAUAUCCUUAACUCAAAGGAUUUAUAAGUUCAAUCUUGACUUUACACUAGCUCUAGUGUUCUUUACAUCACUUUAUGUUGCAAACUCAUGCAAUCACAUUCUUUACUUUUCUUUUACUUUUGCUAACUCUAGCAAUUAUAUUCUUUACAUUCUUUACUUUUGGCUACCUCUAGCACUUCGUGUUCUUUAUUCCCCACAUUACUUUAACUUUAAACAUUGUCAUUUUCAUCAUUCUUUACAUCACUCUAGUUUUUUACAUCACACUAACUCUAGUGUCUCUUUACUAUACAUUUUGAAAUGCCACUCGAUCUAUGUCAUGGUGUCACUCUGUUCUUUUGCUCACUUUGGAUGCUUACUUUUUCUCAUGCAUACACAUAAGGUUUUCGACAUUAUUAGGUUCUCAACCAUCUCAUUAUGCAAGUUGUGCUCACAAUCAUGCAAUCAUCACAUUUCAUCAUUACUUUACCCUAAAAUGCAUCAACAUAUCAUAGUCAUAGAACAUAUGCUCAAAGGAUGACACAUUAGGCAAGAGAGAAUUUCAAUGAAGUUUGCGAAGCACCACCCACCUUGUAGGUCUCUUUAGUGCUCCGAUGAUUUUCUUGGGAUUUUUUGUCCUUCGUUCUUUACCUGCGGCAAAUGAAGCCAACUUAGGCCAUUUUUGCCCAAUCAUUCAUUGGCUUUUCGUAACGUUAAUCCGAGCGCACCAACGGUCGGAAAUACCCACCCAAUUAGGUUUUUUAGAGGGUCAAUUGCACUUAGAAACCCUCAUGAGCAAAAAGCCCAAUUUGGUGCCUGUUCUCCAAUGUGUAUCAAAACCUAGGUUUGAUAUCUAUGGAAGCAAAAGUAGUUCACUAUACUCUAUAGUCAACUAGAACCAUUCUUAGGCUUUCCAAACCCUAGAUUAGAUUUCCACCAUUAGAGGUGGUCCAACGCUCACCUCUAUAGAAUCUAGGUUUGAUCUCUUUAGAAGCAAAAGAAAGCUUCAAAACUCUUCAAAUAUUUCACUAAAACUCAUUUCUAGAUCAUUCAAACCCAUUCUAGGGUUUUACUACAUUAGAGUUCAAAGCUUACCUUGUAAGGCUUCCUUUUCUUCAAGCUAGAGAUGAAGGAGAGGGAGUUUUUCUUCUUCUUCCUCUUCUCCACUUUCUUCCUCUUUCUUCCUUCUUUUCUUCCUUUCUUCUUCUUCUCUUUUGCUUUCUAGGAAGAGAGGGAGAGAAGAGAGUGUGAGAGGGUGAGGAAAUGAGAGAAAUAUCUCAUUUGGCCUCAUACAUAGAUAUUGGGUUGCCAAAAUGCAAAUAAACCCUUCAACUUUUACUCUGUGCACUGCCUGGCUGGGCUGAUCGCGCGGCAGAGACCGCGUCUCCCGAGCAGGACCGGUCUCGAACGUCCACCUGCGCAGCCAGAGCCGCUGCGCGCGAUGCGACCGGUCUCUCUCUGAUGGACCGGUCUCUGGGGGACCGGUCUCUCAGGCAGAGACCGGUUCCGAGAGCUAAUCUUCCAGACUUUAGCCGAUUUUUCGGCUGUCUCAUUUCAUACGCGCUCGGGGACCGGUCUCUCCCACCAGGGACCGGUCCCCGAGAGCUGAAAAUCUGGCAGUUUUUGUAGAAUUUGAUUCUUUAGCUCUCGAAAACCUUCCACAACUCAUUUGUUGAUCAUUUUAACACCUUCAGACUUUCCGAAGUGUACCAUCCUCGCACUUUGGUCAAUUUGACUAAAGUUCGACAUUUCUAUUUUUCGAAUUUUCGGUAUAUUACAAAAGCUUACCUCAAGCUUUCCCUAAGUUGAUCCAAGGAGGAAGAAGAAGAGGUAGGCUCACUACUUGAUCUUCUUCUUCACCUUCUUUUCCUUCUUUUCUUUCUUUUCUUUCUUUCCUCUUCUUCUUCUUUGUCUUCUAGGAGAGAGAGAGAGAGAGAGAAGAGAGUGUGAGAGGGUGGGGAAAUGAGAGGUGAAGGCUCUCAUCCCACAUAACAUAGCCCAUAUGUUGCAAAAAUGCAAAUAAGUCCCUAAGCUUUUAUUCCAUUACACUGCCCAGAUUGGGCAGAUUUCGCAGGCGGGGACCGGUCUCCCCGAGCAGGGACCGGUUCCCGAAGGUCCACCCUGCGCAGCCAGAGCUGCUGCGCGCGAUGCGACCGGUCUCUUCUUGAGGGGACCGGUCUCUCGGGGACCGGUCUCUCAGGCAGGGACCGGUUCCUGAGAGCUGGUUUCUCAGGACUUAGCCAUUUUUCCUCGUUUCUCAUUUUUCAUGCGUUCGGGGACCGGUCUCUCCUUCAGGGACCGGUCCCCGAGAGCUCAAAACUGCAGAGUGCAGAUUUUGAUUCCAUAGCUCUCGAAAACCUCCCGUAACUCACUUUUAAUUAUUUAAACACCUUCGGACUUUCCGAAGUGUACCAUCCUCGCACUUUGCUCAAUUUGACUAAAGUUCGAUAUUUAUUCACCGAUGUUUUUGGUAUAUUACAUUCUUCUUCUUCUUGGACUUCUCCUUCCACUUCUUCUUCUUUUCCUUCCUCUCCUUCUUUUCCUUCUUCUUCUCCUUCUUUUCUUUCCUAGAGAGAGAGAGAAAGAGUAUGAAAGGAAGAGAGAGCAAAUGAGAGGAAGAGAGGUCCCCCAGCCUCUAUUAAAGGUCAUUUUGCAAUUAGGCCCCUCAACUUUUCUUCUUCUGAACCAGCCCUCACUGGGCAUUUUCGCAGUGAGGGACCGGUCCCAGCUCGGGGAGGCCGGUCCCCGAAAGCUACAAUUCCGAGCAGAGGGGUUUUCGCGUUCGGGAACCGGUCUUUACCUGAGAGACCGGUCCUCGGGAGACCGGUCCUUGUCCGAGAGACCAGUUCCCGAGAGUUGUGUUUUCGGGACUUAGCCAAAUUCCGGCCAAUCGUGCUGGGCCAACGUUCGGGAACCGGUCCCUGCCUGCCAGGGACAGGUCUCAUCAGAGACCCGCGCAGCCCAGCCUGAUGGGACCGGUCCUUCCAUGCCAGGGACCGGUCCCCGAGAGCAUUUCUGCUCCAGUGCAGGUUUUGCACUGGUGCUCUCGCGGACCUUUCCUUAAUGCACUUUAUGCAUUAUAGCCACCUUCGGACUUUCCGAAGCUUACACACUCAACGAAUAGUCGAUUCCAAAUCGAAGUCUAAUCCUCCGAUUUCGAGGAUUCACUUCCUUACAGGAAGAGUCCGCGAGAGCACCAGUGUGAAAUCUGCACUGGAGCAUAAUUGCUCUUGGGGACCAGUCCCUGGGAGGGAGGGACCGGUCCCAUCAGGCUGGGCUGCGGGAAUCCUUAGGGCGAUCCGUCCCUGGUAAGGGAAGACCGGUCCCCGAACGUUAGCCCAGCGAGAACAGCCGAAAUUUGGCUAAGUCCCGAAAAUCCAACUCUCAAGAACCGGUCUCUCGGACAAGGACCAGUCUCUCGGGGAUCGGUCUCUUAGGCAGGGACCGGUUCCCGAACGCGAAAUCCCUUCUGCCCGAGAUGGAAGACUCUCGGGGACCGGUCUCCCCGAGCUGGGACCGGUCCCUUACUGCGAAAAUGCCCAGUGAGGGCUGAUUAAGAAGAUAAAAAGUUGAGGGGGCUAUCUACAAUGGCCUUUAAUAGAGGCUGGGGCACCACUCUUUCUCUCAUUUGCUCUCUCUCCCUCUCACACUCUUUCUCUCUCUCUCUAGAACGAAAGGAAAAGAAAAGGAGAAGGAGAAGAAGAGAAAGAAGGAAAAUAAGAAGAAGAGGGAGGAGAAGACAAAGAAGAAGAAGAAGAUCAUCUUCUUCCCUCUCUCCUUCAAGCUAGAGCAAGCUUGAAGCUUUGUGUAGAGGUAAGCCUCAAACCCAUCCAUGGUAGAUUUAUUGAGAUUGGGUUUUAUUGCUUAGAAAUGGUUCGAAUGGAACCUAGAGGAGAUAAAUAGAUGGUUCGGGCUCGCAAUUGAAGCUCGCACCACGGGUUUCCUCACCGUUGCUAACCUAGGGCACGGAAUCGGGAUUUUUGGGAAAUCUAGGGUUUUGAUCUAUUUCGAUGGGUUGUAAACCUAAUUGCUAGGUCGCGAAACGCGUCGGCGAUGACGGUUCGUCGAUACGACGAGCGGGUGCGAAGAUAUCGCCGAAUCAAGCGCUUAAGGGUUCGGAUCGACUCGAGAAGGCGAAGCGUCGACCAAGGACUACGAAAUCGAGUUUUCUACUAGUGCGGCAUCACCAAGAGGUGGGUGGUGACCAUCCCGAAGCAAUCGGCUCCUUUUUAUGUCUUAGUAUUUCGAGACCUUGCAUCCUGUGUUUACAUGCAUUAUAGGAUAAUUGUGCAUUGCCUUUCCUUAUGCUUUCCUAGCUGAUAUCAUAUUAUGCAUUAGUUGCUGGAUAUAGGGGAUUGAUGAGGAUUGGGUCGAGACUUGUAAUCCUAUAGUGCAGCGGUGAGAGAACGAUGCCAUAGUUAAAAUAAAGGAACGAGUGGCAUCUAGUUGUUAAUUAAAAUAAAAGAAUGAGUGGCAUAUGUGAGUUGUAGUAUAUAUGAAACCCAUUGCCUAUGGUGAUAGUAACCUUAGAGGAUAGGAUACCCCUUGAGGUGGGAGAAUUGGAUCCUACUCAUUGUCUGUUCCCGACUUGUGGUGGUCGCUCCACACAAGUUGUGCGCUCCGGAGUCAGUCACGAGGGAUGGCCUAUUUUGGGUCCCGUGGGAUAGGGAUGGCCUAUUUGGGGUCCCGAGGGAUGGCCUAUGUAGGGUCUUGCAGACGGUCUCGGAUUCGUAGUAUCGAGAUGGCUAUGUGAGUAGUAGGCGGAUCCUUGAAUGAGCCACGAGAUUAAUGAACAAGUAAACAACCUUACUUCUUGGACAUAUGAAGAGCUAGUUGAUUAUCCAUUUCAUUGUGCAUGUAUUUUUAUAUACAUGAUUUAGGCACGGUAGCAUAGCUUUGCUAUUCUGUUAUUACAGCUUCCCAUAUCUAUCUAUCUGUUUAUCUUCUUGUGCCCGCUUGGACCUAGUGGGGAGACCGGCGGAGUCGGCGGCCGAACCCACUGGGAACUAUGGAAGAUAAUUCUCACCCCACUCUUUUCAGGUUCGUGCUCGAGUGUUCCCGGCGAGCGCGAGGAUCGUGGUAAGGGCGUAGCGCCCUAGUUGCAUUAGCUAUCCACCCAUUUUGCAUUAGCUCUACCAUGUAUUAUGUUGAGAGUAGUUGUUGUAUAGGGUGAAGUUUGAGAGUGCUUGUACUCAUGUUUUGGAAAAAUGUAAAAGAUGGUAUUAAAUGUAUUAAGUUGAAUGAAUGUAAUAGAUAGAACCUUCUCUCUUUAUCUACUUGUAUGUCUCAUACUUGUAUCUUGCUCUUGUUUUGGUUGGCACUGGUGGUGCUCCUCGUGAUCGUGUAUUCAUGAAUUGAUUCCUGGAUAAUUCUUUUACAUGAUCAGUUGGUUAGCUUUGGGCGGACAGGGGAGGUUCUGUCCGUUCGGCGUCUGUUCGACGCGCCCGGAUCGGGCCAAAUUGGUAGCGGUCUCGGGGCGUGACAGAUAAAGUGGUAUCAGAGCGUAAGAGCAAGUAAAGAGAGAGUCUAGGAUGACCUAGGAGACUCUAGAUUGUUAAACCCUAAGAUUAUAGGGGCGUGAGUGAAUGUGAACCUAUGGCGGUGGCGGAAGUUGAUUGAUUGGUUCGAAGUUGAUAUUAUGUCUCUAGCUGUGAAUAGAGACGGAUCCAAGUGAUACUAGUUUCUUGGCUCGGAGUGGUUGUGUCGGCGGCCGACGACGCGACGCUAAGAGUCGAGAACUAGGACACUUGUGGGCUUCCACCCGAUUUCAUUGUCGAGUCGUUUAAUUUCAUGAGCUAAGAAGUUAUCGGGUAAGAUAACUAACUGAGUUAUUGCUUUUCAGGAGCAAAUGUCCCCAAGACGAUAUGUACGCAGGUCUGCUCCGGUACAGCCUCCUGUGGAGCCCGAGCAGCGAAGAUCGGAGGAAGUGCAGGAGCUGCGGGAGCAGGUCGCUGCGAUGUUGGGCGCGAUGCAGCGCCAAGAGGCUCGGUUAGAGUAGCCCCAGGGAUUCGUGGAGCGGCAAGCAGCGGCGGCGGCCGCGACGGAGACGGAGGGCCGCGCGCCGUUAGCAGCUGAGGUUGAGGGCAUAGCGACGGUUCCGGUGGCGGCAGUUCCCCCGCCAGCAAGUGAACCUCCGACAGCUUCGGGUUCGGUGACACCUGAUACAACGGCCGAGGAAGUGGAGCGGGAGCGUGCGCUGACGGCUCUAAUGAAAUUCCUGAAGUUUAAGCCACCAACCUUUGAAGGGGGAAAGGUGGAGCCGUCGGUGGUGGAGUCUUGGAUUGACUCUAUGGAGACCCUCUUCGAGGACCUAUAUACCUCGGAGAAGGACAAGGUGCACCUCGCCACACACUGUUUGAAAAAGACGGCGAAAGUGUGGUGGAAGCGGUUGAAGCGGGAUCGGCCCUCUGACCUUCCACCAAUGCUCUGGGAGGAGUUUAAGGGGGCAAUGUUUAGAAAUUACUUCCCCGACACCGAGAAGCGAAAGUUGAAGGAGAAGUUUUGCAAAUUGAGAUAGGGGGAUCGCUCAGUAGCAGACUACGAGCAGGAGUUCUCCCAUAUCAUAAACUGUGCCCCAGAUGUGGUUAAAGAUGAUGGGGACAGGGCCAAAUGGUUCUUGCGGGGACUUCGGCCGUGGAUAUAUCGGGCAGUGCAGUUGUUCAAGCUCACGACUUUUGCCAAAGUGUUUGAUAGGGCGCUGUGGGCAGAGCAUGGAGAUGCCCACGUGCGGGAGGAACGCGAGCUGCUGACUGGACCCCAAGACAAGGGGAGGAAGCGAUCGGGCGGCGGUUCGGGGGGACAAUCUAGUUCGAGGAGGCCCCCGAAGUAUCCGCGGUCGUAGUCGUGGGGCCGUGGGCCGCAGCAAUGCAUUAUCUGUGGAGACCGGGGUCAUCGAGCGCCGCAGUGUAGGCAACGUCAAGGUAAAUGCUACGACUGCGGACAGGAAGGGCACAUAAGCCGCAACUGUCCAAUAAGGGCCUCGUCUGCUCCGUCAACCGCGUCGACUCCAGCACCCCCGCCUCAUCAUGUAGGGGCCCCAUAUGUUCCUGUAUCAGCGGGACGCGCACUGAUGCCGCGUCAGCCGGAGGUGACUCGAUCAGCGCCGAGCGGACGGGUAUUCACCGCUCAGGCCCAAGCCGAGGAGUCUGCCCAAGCCGAGGAGCCUGAUGUUGUGGCAGGUAUGGUUCUAAUUAAUGGAGUUCGCUCAAGGGCUAUGUUCGAUACAGGCGCCACGCACUUGUUUAUUAGUAGAGCAUUUGCACGCAUGCAUGCAUACCCAUAGAAGCAAGUGGCAAGUGGCGAGUCGAGGGCCCUGAGUCGUCAUUCAAUACUUAUACGGAGUGCUCGUCGUGCCCAGUACAAGUAGGUGACUGGAUAAUGCCCAUCCGGAUGUUGGAGCUCAAUAAAUUGGAGGCAUAUGACGUCAUUUUGGGCAUGGACUGGCUCUCGAAGUAUUACGCCACGAUCGAUUGUAAGAAUAAAUCGAUCACUUUUCGGGAGCCAGGACAGAAGGAGUUCGUUUAUCGAGCCUAUCGGAGUUCUUGCUUCGUCGCGACGGUAUCGGCGACGAGAGCUAGGAAGUUGGUCACCGGCGGUUGCGUGGCAUUCUUGGCGACCGUCGUGGAAGUGGAUCGAGUGGUGCCGAAUUUAGAAGAGUUAUCGGUGGUGCGGGAAUUCACAGAUGUAUUUCCCACGGAGUUACCGGGGAUGCCGCCGGAUAGGGAGAUCGAGUUCGUUAUAGACUUGGUUCCUGGGACGGCGCCGAUCUCAAAGGCCCCAUACCGCAUGGCGCCGGCAGAGCUAAGGGAACUGAGGGAUCAGUUACAAGAUCUUCUCGACAAGGGGUUUAUCAGGCCGAGCAUAUCGUCGUGGGGAGCCCCGGUGUUGUUCGUGCGCAAGAAGGAUGGGUCGUUCCGACUCUGCGUGGACUACCGAGAGUUGAAUAGGGUCACGAUAAAGAAUAAGUACCCGUUGCCCCGAAUUGACGACUUAUUUGAUCAGUUGCAGGGGUCACGAGUGUACUCGAAAAUAAACCUACAGUCCGGCUGUAAGGGAAGUGAAUUCUCGAAAUCCGAGGAUUAGACUUCAUCUGGAAUCGACCAAUUGUCGAGGGUAUAAGCUUCGAAAAGUUCGAAGAUGAUUUGAAUGCAUAAAGUGCAUUAAGGAAGAGUCCGCGAGAGCAGCAGUGCAAAUCUGCACUGGAGCGGAAUUUGUUCUCGGGGACCGGUCCCUGGUGGGGAGGGACCGGUCCCAUCAGGCUAGGCUGGCGGGGACCCAUGAGGCAACAGGUCUCUGGCAGGUUAGGACCGGUCCCCGAACGUUAACCCAGCGAGACAAGCCGAAAUUUGGCUAAGUCUCGAAAAUCCAUCUCUCGGGAACCGGUCUCUCGGAUAAGGACCGGUCUCCCGGGGACCGGUCUCUCAGGCAGGAACCGGUUCCCCAACGCGAAAUCCCUUCUGCCCGAGAUGGAAGGCUCUCGGGGACCGGUCUCCCCGAGCUGGGACCGGUUCCUCACUGUGAAAAUGCCCAGUGAGAGGCUGCUUAAUAGAUGAAAAGUUGAGGGGCUUAUUUGCGAAUUGGCCUAUAUGAGAGGUGGGGGACCCCUCUCUCUCUCUCUGUUGUCUCAUUUGCCCUCUCUUUCUCUCCCUCUCUCUCUCUAGAAUGAAGGAAAAGAAGAAGAGAAGAAGGAGAAGAAAGGAAAGAAGAGGUAGAGAAAGAAGAAGGAGAAGAGCAAGGAGAAGAAGAAGAUCAUCUUCCUCUCUCUCCCUCAAGCUAGAGCAAGUUUGGAGCCUGGUAAAGAGGUAAGCUCCAAACCCAUCCAUGCUGGAUUUCUUGAAGUUGGGUUUUGUAGCUUAGAAAUGGUUCGAAUGGAACCUAAUGAGGUUAAGGAGAUGGCUCGAGCUCGAAAUGGAAGCUCGCGCCACGGAUUUCCUCACCGUUGCCAAUUUAGGGCACGGAUUUGGGAUUGUUGGAAAGUUAGGGUUUUGAUCUUGUUUAAUAGGUUGUAAACCUAAUUGCUAAGUCUUCGAACGCGUAGGCGAAGACGGUUCAUCGAUCCGACGAGCGAGUGCGGAGAUAUCGCCGAAACUAAUACUGGAGGGUUCGCUUUGCCCCGAGAAGUUGAAGCGAUGCAAAAGGACCGCGACGUCGAGUUUGCUAACUACGCGGCACUACCAAAAGGUAGGGGAGUGCCAUCUCGAAGCAGUCGAGCUGCUUUCUAUGUCUGAGUUAUUAUGUUGAUCAAUUGCAUAUUGAACAUGAGGCAUAUAGGGAACUAAAUUGCUAAUAACUAUAUUUGCAUGCUAGUGUUGAUGUAGCUUAGUUGGUAUAGCACUAACCUAGUAUGCAUGAGUUGAAUAUGAGAUGGUUAACCCUAUAUGUGUUGGAUGUACAUGUAGCUAUGAAAACAUAGUACAGUGUGGACUAGAGUACUGAGAACUUGUCAAAAGAACGAGUGGCAUCUAGUUAACAAUGAACACAAACGAGUGGCAUCUAGUUGAUAUUGAAUAUGAGAACACUAGUGUAGCAAAACACUAUGAGCUUGGGUAUUGAGAUGCUUGAUUCUAUGAUGACACCAACCUUAGUUCGUAGGACCAGUUCGUAAGUUCAGAUUAUACUCACAUAGCCUGUCUGCGCUUGUCGGGGUCGCUCCCCACAGGCUGUGCACUCCGAAGUAUUUGUCACUCGAGGGGCAGUUGCCAUGCGCUGCCUGGAUAGUCAGUGUAUCUGUCCGCAGGCGGUCUCCGGGAAUUGUUCAGCGAGGCUUUUCCCUAUGAGACUCAUAAUGUAAGGUACCGGACUUCUAAAACUAUGAAGUUACGGUGUGCAUUUGGUUGGAAAGCCAUUUGAAUCGUCCCGGUGAAGUUCGAUGAAGUUCGGAAGCAUUCGGGCGUUUCAGUGCGCGUAGGCGCGGAAAUGAGACCCGAAAGGCUAUGUUUGUCACGCCCCGAGACCGCUCCCAAAUUUGGUCCGGUUCGGGCACACCGACAGACCGCCGAACGGACAGAGUUUUCCCUAUACGUCCUAGGCGUCGCAACAAGUACAAUACAAAGGUUCCAACCAGGAACAGUACUCAGCAAACAGAAUUGUAUCAGGAAGGUAUCAAUCAACAUAAACACAUCCUAUGGUAUUACAUCCAUUCAUUUUACAUCACAAUUCCAUUACAUUCAACUUCCAAUACAAUUAAGUUAUUACAACAUUUAUUGAUUACAAUUUGAUACAUUUGCUUGCUUUCAUUUUCUAUACCCCUAAGCUACGUCGACGGGGUACUGCUAGCUCUGGUCUCUGGGGGUAGGGCGCUAUCUAUGGAGCUACGCCCUUGCCUCGCGCCGCCGCGCCGCUCACGUGCGAACCUGUAAAACCCCAAAACAACGUGGGGUGAGAACCAACUCCAUGGUUCCCAGUGGGUACAGCCACCCAAGGGAGGAGCUCGACCAACAGGUCCAAGGGAGGCAAAUACAAGUUAGUCCAAUAAACAGAUAGAUAUGUAUAUCAUAAACAUGCAACUAACUUUACCUUGCUUUGCCUCACAACUGCAAUGAUGUCAUGCUAUAUGCAACAGGAAUAUAUGCAACAACUAGUAGAAUUAUUGAUUCUACAAUCAAUCUUGCUAAUCUUAGCUCGUGCCAUCCAACUCUAAGGCUUCCACUACCUUAGGUUUAUCACAUUUACCACUAGCCCUCAAGGUUCUAUCUACCUUAUUCCAACUAGCCACCCGACUCGGCCUCGAGUCAAUCAAUAGCGGAUAAUCCGCGCUCUGCCCGGCUCGAGGUGAAGGACCCUGUCGCAUGCACCUCAGCCUGCAAGCCAAGAACCACAUCGCCCAACGGUCCGCCCGAAGGUCCAUGCACCGUGGUAAGGGAUCCGCCAGUGGGAGAGGAAACAUAGCCGCGUACACCUAUAGCCGAGAUCCCCGAUAGGGAGAGGAACAUGCCGCGUACACCCUAGCGCUCUUUGUUUUUGCUUAGUCAUAAUCCUCAAAGUUCUUCCGGUGGGAGAGGAACAUCGCCGCAUACACCCGCGGUCCAAGAACUAUUGAGUUCACAAGUACUGGGAUUCCGGAAUCGACUUCACAAGUCAAGGGUCCAUAUCCAACCCUAUACUAUUGACCUAUUUAGGUCCAAUACACUUUCCACCCUAGGUCCAACUGACUCUAGGUCUAAUGCCUCGAUUUCACAACCUAGGUUUACCUUAACUCUAGGUUCAGUUCUCAACCUAUGUUCUUUAACACUAGGUUAGAUGCCACACACCUAGAUCCCGACUCUAGGUUCAUACUCAACCUAUGUUCUUUAACACUAGGUUAGAUGCCACUCGUUAUUUAUCCUAGGUUCAACAACGCUAGGUUCAAUGUCAUCUAGGUUCGACCUAUGUUUAUUAACACUAGGUUAAUGCCACUCGAUCUACUUGAUAUCCUAUUUGUCAUAUCGAGUCCAUAUGCACAUGCAUCUUAUCUAACAUGCUCACAUGAUGUUACAUGCACCUAGCAUACAUUCCAAUGCACACAUACAUUGUCACGCCCCGGGACCGGCGGAGGCCCUCCCGGUAGCGUGCCCAGACCCGCCAUAUGUCUACACAUAUAAGGCGUCUACAAGAAAAGCGGAAGUCUAUUUGGAUGAGAUUGUCGCAUUGCACGGGUACCUACUUCUAUCGUAUCAGAUCUGAUGACCCGUUUUGUAUCCACUUUUGGAGGAGCUGACAGGACGCUCUGGUACCCGUUUUGCGACUUUCGAUCACACACUUUCCACCCCCAGAGUGACGGGCAGUCGGAGCGUACUAUACAGACUCUCGAGGACAUGCUUCGAGCCUGCGUGAUCGACUUCCAGGGAGGAUGUCGCAGCAUCUACCGAUGGCAGAGUUUGCUUAUAACAAACAGUUAUCAAGCAAGCAUUCAAGAUGGCACCGUUCGAGAACUAAUGGACGAAAGUGUAGAUCGCCACUUCAUUGAGUGGAAGUUGGUGAGAAGAUUGGCUUUAGGCCCAGAUGCUCGAGGAAGCAGAGGACGAGGUUCGCAUUGCUCGGGAGCGAUUGCUGACAGCCAAGAGUAGGCAGAGGAGUUAUCUGAAUCGCGUCGACGAAGACUUGGAGUUUUAGAUUGGAAACCAUGUGUCUUGAAAGUCUCGCCGACCAAAGAAUUCGAAGAUUGGAAUCCGGGCAAGUUGAGCCCCCGAUAUAUUGGACCGACGAGUUUUGGAGGCGUGUGGCGCCCGGUAGCGUAUCGACUCCUUUACCGCCAACUAUCGGCGUGUACACAAUGUAUCCAUGUAUCGGUCCUUCGAAGUACAUCCACGAUCCGGCUUCACGUGUUGGAUAUACACCUUGGAGCUGCGGGAUGAUUUGAGCUUUGAAGACAACCUUGAGGAUGUUAGCUCGCGAGGUAAAAGAUUGGCGGAACGAGAAAUUCCUUACGUGGAGGGAGCUUUGGAAGCAAACCAACGGAGCGCCGAGGCCACUUGGGAGCUGGAGAGCGCACUAAGGGAGCGCUAUCUCUAUCUUUUCAGACGGAGGCUUGAGGUACUUGUCAUUUCGAGUGCGCGACGAAACUCCUUUUAGAGGGGUGAAGUAACGCACUGACCUUUGCAAUGCGAGGUUCGAGUGUUUUGAUGUAUUUCGAGCUUUAUCACACUUUGGUGGAGGGUUUGUAGAAUGUUUUCCGACCCAAAAAGUUCGAAAACUGGAAUUCUGCACAAGUCCUGAAGUUUUUUACUCUCGGGGACCGAUCCGCUGGAAGAAGACGCGGUCCCCAGUGAGCAGUGCUGCGGCAGCCCUGAGGCAACCGGUCCCUGGCGGCGAACCGGUCCCCGAGCGCGUCUUCGCAGUGAGAGACCGUCCGCGCAGGAGAGACCGGUUCCUGAACGUUGGUUUUCGGGUUCCGCGCGAGAGACGGUCCCUGCUGGGAGAGACGUCCCUCUGGCGAAAACUGCCCAAGACCGGGCUGAUCCAAUAUUGGAUUUUUGAGGGCCCACAGAUUUUGUUACAAGAGAAGGCUUAUAUGGCCAUUCUCCUUCUCCUCUUCCUCACUUCACCAUUUCUUUUGCUUCUAGAGAGAGAGAGAGUGGGAGAGAAAGAGAGAGAAGAAGAAGAAGAGCUUGUAGAGGAUUGGGAGCUUCAUCUUCACCUUUUCUUCUCCUUUUUGGUGAUUGAGCUUGCCUUUGAGCUUGGUGUGGACCAAAUUUCAACCCUAGGCAUUUUGAGCUUGGAUUAAAAGCUUCAAAGGGUUAGUACCAUGUUUCUUCCUAUAGAUUCUUGUUUUGGUGGUUUUUGGGGAGAUGAAACCCUAGAAAAUGAGAUUUAGGGUUUGAUUUUGGCAUUUUUGAUCUAGGGCUUUGACUAAAAUUGUUGGUUUAGAACCUUCCUAAGGCUUGGAUUGGAAGGGUUCUAGCUCUCUUUUGGAGCUUAGGAAGAUUUCUCCUCUUGAGGUGAAUUUUGGGCCCUUUUUGCUUCUACUUUAAUGUUUGAUCUCUUGGUUAGUCGUAAGCUCUCGUAUCUCUUCGUGAUUAUUUUUAGGGUAUUUGAGACUCGGGGACAACUUUGUUCGGCGAAACGAGCGCCUACGCACGGUUCGGUGGUUUGACCUAAGCCACACAAUGAGAAAUUCUCAUUUGUGCUUAAUUAAGUAUUGUUAAAUGAAAAAGCAUGCAUAUUCUUGUUAUAAUGUAUUUAUUGUGAAUUUAGAAUGUUAAAAGGCCUUAUGUUAUAUAUGAUGAAAUUGGACCUCUAUAUAUGUAGAGAGUAGCUUGUAGGCCUAUAGUUGCUCUACAUUCUAUAUGAACGUGGUUUCAUGCUCCUAUAGUGUAAAUAGAUUGAUUCAUGCAUUUAAACCUAAGUUUAUUUGGACAUGAAAGUUGACAAAAUUGCCAUAUAGAGCUAUCGAACUAGAAUGUAUGGGAAUUGGAGAGCUAUAUCAUCAAGCGGCAUUGAGCUCGGGACAAUGUGUGAACCUAGUGGUUAGAGCUAUUGAGGGAUUGGGUAUAUGUGAACAUUAAUUGACUAAGUGUCAUCAAGGGCCCUAGCGUAAUGAAUGUUGGAACUCUCAUCUUAUGACUUAAGACUAGAUCCUUCAGGAUGCUAGUUAUGAUACCAGUUAAGACAUAGGAUUGGAUAUUUAGACUUGGACUAUGCUGCUUGCCAUUUGUGUCUCAUUCACACAUGCUUGUAAGGGUCGCUCCCUACAAGCCGGCACUCCGGAGUUAGCCUAUGCGACCUAUGUUCGCUCAUGCGGUAUUGAGAAGCCUACGGGGUCUAGUGGACAGACACAUUCCAAGAGUAGGAAUGUCGGGCUACACAGGCACUUAGGCGCACAAGCUGGACUACCUUUGGUAGGUCCUUAAUUGGAAAUGAAAUCGAUACGGUGUUGAGAUGGUUAAUCACUACAGAUAGGUUUAGUAUCGAAUUACAUUUAUAUGCUUUUAGCAUAGUGUUGAGACAUGUUAAUAUCUUGAUAGUCGUCUUUUUGCAUUAAAGCAUGUUUGGAUGCAUGACAGAACUUGCAUACUGUAUUCAUAAAGAUAAUAACAUAUCUAUUUUGAUAUCGUAAUGUACAUCACCAUGACAUCGUUAUACUUGAGUUUAUGUAAGUUAGCAUUUAAUUAUGCCUUUAUAUUGCUAUCAUUAUUGUACUUACCCUUUUCUUUGGGCUAGUGGUGCAUUGGAGCUAGAGGUCAGUAAUUGCCCACGCGGGAACUAUAAAAUUAUAGUCUCACGCGCCUCUUUUUCCGGAUGUUUUUCAGAGCUUCCACUAGGGUGAGCCAGGACGCGCGGAAGGGAGUUGCUUCGAGCUAGCUCCUACGAGGACGACUGCUAGGUGGUCUACCUCCGUUGUACUUUAUUUUGGAGAGGUUGAGAGUUUUACCAGUGUACUAGAGACCAACUUUUUAUAUAGAGGCUGAUACUUGUAUAAUCUUAUGUUUACUUUAUAUGUAUUAGUUAUGUUCUAUUACUAAUUUAGUAUAGAUGUUAGAACUUUACUCGCUCUGAGUAUCAUUAGUUGCCUUUUUAAAUNNNNNNNNNNNNNNNNNNNNNNNNNNNNNNNNNNNNNNNNNNNNNNNNNNNNNNNNNNNNNNNNNNNNNNNNNNNNNNNNNNNNNNNNNNNNNNNNNNNNCAAAUCAAAUUGACAAAAUCAAAAGGGGAUUUCUUCGGAACCCCAAAUCAAAUUGCAAAUCAAAGAUGAGUAUUACACGAAGCUUAACUGCAAAUUAAAUGUUCAUAUGACGAACCAAAUUGCAAUUAAGUUCGAAUUCGAACCCAAAUUGCAAAAUCAAGUUCACUACAAACACAAAUACAAUCCAAACAUUCCCCAAAUAAACCAAACAACAUCACAAUCAACGGCAAAUCCAACCCAAAAUAAUCGCUAACCCACUUCCACCAUAAAACAAAACCAAAAACUCAAUAAACCACAACCAAACCCAAUGAAAUCCAAACCCAUUUUCACACAUAAAACAAAACCCAAGCUAAAUCAAAUCAAACCCAACCUGAACCAGUCCAAAUAAGAACCAAAACGCCGAAACCCUAAAAUCAAACCCUAAACCCAAACCAUCAAAUACACCUAAACCAAAACACCAGAAUAAAACCCAAACUGGACCAAAUAAAUUCCAAACCCCAAGCCAAGUCCACAAUAAACCGAUGAACAAACUUGGACCCAAUAAAUCAAACCAAACCAGUCCACAAUAAAAACAAACCAAACUUGCGACCAAAAGAUCCAAACACCAAACCAAGUCCACACAUAAAUCAGAACCAUAAACUCAAACCCAAAUAAACCCAAACCACAAGUCAACAUACAAAAGCCAAGAUUCAUGGACUCAAGUCCACCCUCUUCAUCACAUGAAGCCAAAACCAAGUUCAAUGGACCAAAUCCCAUGAACCAAAACCAAUACUCAUGGGACCAAAUCCAUGAGACAAAAACAAGUUCAUGAACAAAUACCAUGAACCAUACCAACCUCGAUGGACCAACUCCCAUGAGCCAAAUCAGUUCAAUGGACCAAAUCCCACGAACCAAAACAAACUCAUGGACAUAAUGCCAUGAGCAAAACAAACCUCAUGGAUCAGAUCCCAUGAGCCAAACCAAACUCAUGGACCAAAUCCAUGAGCCAAAACCAAGUUCAUGCGAACCAUAUCAUUGAACCAUAACCAAAACCAUCGAUGAACAAGAUCCAUGAGCCAAAACCAGUAUGUACAAAAUUCAAGAUGAACAAAACAAACCUCAUGGACCAAUUCCCAUGAGCCCAAAAUCAAACCUCAUGGACCAAAUCCCAUGAACAAAAACCAAACUCAUGGACCAAAUUCAUGAGCCAAACCAGUUCAUGGACCAAAUCCCAUGAACCAAGAACCCCAAACCUAUGGACAAAUCAAAUGAGCCGAAACAAUCCUCGAUGGACUAAAUCGCAUGAGCCAAAAACAAACCUCAUGGACAAAUUCCCAUGAACAAAGAACCAAAUUCAUGGGACAAUCCUCAAUGAGCCAAAAACCAAAACCUCAUGGACCAAGAGUCCCAUGAGCCCAAACCAAACCUUAUGACCAAAUUCAUGAACUCAUACACAAAAACCUCAUGGACCAAUCCAUGACCACAAUAACCUCAUGGACCGACGAACCCCACAAACCAUACACCAAACCUCAUGGACCAAAUCCCAUGAACCAUAAAUCCAACCUAAUACCCAUAUCCCAUAAACCAAUACCCAAAUUCCAUGAACCAAUACCCAGAUCUCAUACCCAUAUCUCACGAACCAAUUAAACUCUAAUACAUAGAGUUUAAUAUCGAUUAGGUCUUAACACAUAUACUUAGGGCCUAAUCAAACUCAAAUUCAACUGAAUCCUAAUACGUAUAUUAGGAUUCAAUAAACCUAGAUAUGAUUCAUUCAAUCCCAUCUAUAAAGGUCUCUUAAUCGAAGGUGCCCCAAUCUACAGAGGGUAAUUAACAGUAGAUGCUUGCAUUUAUUGGAAGCCAUGGACCCGCAAUACCUGAUACCCACAUAUACAUAUAAAUACUCAUCUGAAUCAUGAAUACUACCCCACCGCCCCGAAAAAUCCAUCGACCGUGCGAGGUGCGUCAUUCGUGGUGGCAGACACCACCGACCUCGUAUGGUUAUAAAGGUGCUACGGUUUAAUUCUCGUGAUUUUUGGACGCUUAUUUCUUCCGACUGUGCAAAACGAAGCCAAAAUAGGCUUUUUCUUCAAUAUCUUUGCGUGGACUCGUCGGAUUUUCGAACCGAGUCUCCCAACGCGUCGGAAAUACCUUCAAUUAGGUUUUCAUAAGGUCAAUUUACAUUUAAACCCAUUUAUGACAAAAGCCCUAAUUUAGUGCCCUAACAAUGCCCUAUAGUAACAUAUACCAUGUAGAUCUUAGGGCAAGGCAAAAACAAGCUUAAUGUCGUCUAGGAAUCCUUUUAAAACCAUUUCUAGGUCAUUUAAACUAUUCUUAGGGCAUUUAAAACAAACCCUAGAAUUCUACCGUGAGAGCUCAUGGACAAAUAUGGAUUUUCAUGAGUUCCAUGGUCUCUACAAGGUUUCCUCACAUGUAAGAAGAUCAAAUCCAAGUGUUCUAGGGUAUAAAACCAAACCCUAACAUCAAUCUUACAAGAAACCUUACAUUAGCCUAGAAGCUCACCAAGCUACACCUUGUAGGAGAGUGUCACGCCCCGGGACCGGCAGCGGCCCUCCCGGUAGCGUGCUCAGACCCGCCAUAUGUCAACACAUAUAAGGCAUCUACAAUGAAAGCGGAAGUAAAAGUAAGAGAUAGAACAAAUAAGAUAAGUAGCAACUAAUGAUAUCAGAGCGAGUAAAGUUCUAUCAUCUACACACAAGGAAAGAAGUAAGGCUAAACAAUAAAAGAAACCAUAAGUAAUACACUAUCAGUCUCAAAAGUUCAAAAAAUGGUGGUCUCUAGUACACUGGUGAAACCCUCAACCUCUCGCAAAAUAAAAAGAAAAUACGUCGAUAGUAGCUAAAUAGGCUACGCAGCCUCUACUAAUCAAUUGCCUAGCUCGAGAGGAGCUAAUCGUCAUCGCAAACAGCGAACUCUGGCAUCCUCGGUACACAACCUCCGCCUGCCCCAGCUCUCUAAACGUCACCGUUCGAUCCUUGCAAUCGAUAGUGGCGUAGUACCUAGUCAACCAGUCCAUGCCCAACACUACAUCAAACUCUCCGAGUUUAUGCAACGCUAACAAGUCCACGGGCAUAAUCCAAUCUCCAACCCGAACAGGGCAACUGAGGCAAAACUCUCAAAUAUCCAAAGAGUGAUCGGGUACAGUAACUCGUCCCGGAUGCAACAAGGAUACUAGUGGGAUGCCAUGCAACUCGGCAAACAGCCGGUCAAUGAAUGAAUGCGAUGCACCGGUAUCAAACAAAGCUCUAACUCGAAUACCAUAAAGUAAAAUGAUACCUGCGACCACAUUCUCGGCUGCCGCCGCCUCCUCAGUCUGGGCCGCGUACAUGCGCCCGCUCGGGGCCUGUCGUGACCCCUCCGCCUGUCGCAGAACUGGCGGCCGUCCUGCCUGGUGAUGCGCAGAAGAUGUCCCCUGGCUGGGACCUGGCGAUGCUGGUGCAGAUGCCGCAGAUGGCGCUGGCAAUGGACUCCUCGGGCAGUCCGACUGGAAGUGGCCCUCCUGGCCACACAAGAAGCACCUGCCCCGGCUGCGUGAACACUGCCGCGGGUAAUGAGGACCGCCACAGAUCACGCAGCGGGGAGCCUGACGACGAUCGGGUCCUCCUCGCUGAGUAGACUGGCCACGUCCUCGCGACUGGCUCCGGCUCCUGGGAUGCCUCGGCGGCCUCUGUGAGUGCGUCUGACUCGCACCCUCAGCCGCGGGCCUCUUCCCCUUCCCUUUCUCCAAGCUCUCGCGACGCUCCUGCAGAUCCGCCGCUCCCGCCUCCACGAUCAAAGCUCGAUCCACAACCUCCCGGUAGGUCUGGAGGUUGGAAGACUGCACCAACCGGAAGAUAGAAGGCCGCAAACAGCGCUCAAAGAUGCGGGCCUUGUCCUCGUCGUCCCUCACAACAAAUGGUAUACAGUGUAGUAUCCGGGAGAACUCCCUCUAGUACUCAGCCACUGACCGCUCGUCCUGGCGCAAGCUGCGCAAAUCCUGCUCCAUCUUCCUCUUGACGCUGGUAGGAAAGUGGUGCGCCAGUAGAAGCUCCUUGAAUCGUGUCCAAGUAAUCGCCGCCAAGUCGGUGUUGGGGUUGUCCUGGAUAUCCAACCACCAACGAUAGGCCUCGCCGUCCAGAAAGUGAGUGGCGAGCCAAACUCUGUCCCUCUCCUCGACGAAGGUAUCUCGAAACAACUUCUCCAUAUGCAUCAACCACUUCUCAACAAUCCAGUGGUCGACGUUCUCGCCAUCAAACGUCCUCGGGCUGCACCUCCUGAACUCGCUGAGGCGCUCCAUAAGCCGAUCCCGCUCAGCUCCCUUGGCCAUCACGGGGAAUGCGGCCACCGUCGUCGGUCUCUGAACUGGUAAUGCAGCAACCACCUCCUCCCGAGGUGCGGUCGCCGGUGCCGCACGUGAAGAGCUGGGCGCGGGGGACUGCGCCCUCGGCGCGACGUCCACUACGGGUGCUGGCAGUGUGGGAACCUGGGUCUCCCUCGAAGCUGCCGCCUGCUGAAGUAGGAGGUCCUCGAGAUGCUUCAUCCGCGCCUCCUGCCGCUGAGCCACCUCGGCCUGUCGCUGCGCCGCUGUCGUCUGCUGCGCCAACAGAUCAGUGAGAACCGCAAGCUGGGCCCUCAAGUCACAGACCUCGCUAGAUCCGGAAGUAGCGGAGGUCUCGACCUUCUCGGGGUGUGCCGCAUCAUCCUCCCCAGCAGACUGGGAGCGUGUAAUCGGCAUCGACACUACAGAACAUAAAAGCGCAAGUUAGUAACCCACGCUAUUGCAACCCCGCUCAAAUAAAUAAAAUCCAAAUCAUGCGAAAGUAGGGAAGUGUCCUUCACUACUAACUCCCGAUGUUACGUUGUCGGCCGCCAACGUAACCCUCCGCGAAGUUAGAAGGCAUACACUCCGGUCAAACUCUAACUGUUUAGAGUUAUCAUCAAACCCAAUCAAAAUACUUUUGCUCACAAAUCAAUAGACCUCGUCUCUCACGAGCCUAAUUCCUAUAGUCCAACCGGUAUAAGGUUUGCUAGGUCCUCUAAGACUCAACCCUAGGUUCUGAUACCAAAUUAAUCUGUCACGCCUCGGGACCGGCAGCUGCCCUCCUAGUAGCGUGCCCAGACCCGCCAUAUGUCAACACAUAUAAGGCGUCUACAAUGAAAGCGGAAGUAAAAGUAAGAGAUAGAACAAAUAGGAUAAGUAGCAACUAAUGAUAUCAGAGCGAGUAAAGUUCUAUCAUCUACACCCAAGGAAAGAAGUAAGGCUAAACAAUAAAAGAAACCAUAAGUAAUAAACUAUCAGUCUCAAAAGUACAAAAAUGGUGGUCUCUAGUACACUGGUGAAACCCUCAACCUCUCGCAAAAUAAAAAGAAAAUACGUCGAGAGGUAGACCACCUAAGCUCGUCUCUCUCUGAAGGGCUAACUCAAAGCGACGCCCUUCCCACGGUCCCUAGCCUCUCCCGGCGUGGAAGGCUCUGUAAGAAAACAUAAAACAGAGGGCGUGAGAACUAUAAUUUAUAGUUCCCAGUGGGCAAUUACUGACCUCAGCUCAAUGCACCACUAGGCCCCAAAGAAAAGGGUAAGUACUAUAAGCAAUAAUGAAAAUAAUAAUAAAAGAAACGGUUUGCAUUUAAGAAAGCAAAGUAAAAUGCUAAACUACUAUGUUGCACAUAAGCAAGAUGUCAAAUGGUUGUACAUCUACUAUAGUCAAAUGAGGUAUGUCCAAGCAUGAAUACUAUAUCCCAACAUAGCGAACAAGUAGGUAACAUGAUCUACUAUGAUAAUGUACGAAGGAUAUGCUCUAUCAUGGCAAUGAGUAUACUAUGAUGCAAUAAAUAGGACUAUCAAGUAUACUACCCGUCUCAACACUAUGAUAUAAGUACGUCAUAGUAAUCCAACUACUAAUCCUAUCUAGUAGUGAUUAUUCAUUCUCAACCCUGUGUCGAUUUCCAUUUCCAAUUUGAGGACUUACCAAAGGUAGUCCAGCUUGUGCCGCCUAAGUGCCUGUGGUAGCCCAACAUCCCUACUCUUGGAAUGUGUCUGUCCCACUCGACCCCGUAGGCUUCUCAAUACCGCACGAGCGAACAUAAGUCGCAUAGGCUAACUCCGGAGUGCCGGCUUGUAGGGAGCGACCCUCACAAGCAUGUGCGAAUGAGCACAAAUGGCAAGCAAGCAAAGUCCAAGUCUCAAGUACCCAAUCCUCAUGUCUCUAACAUGGUAUAGUUACUAGCAUCCCGAAGAUCUAGUUUAAGUCACAACAUGAAGUUUCAAUACUACUAGUCUUGUGCCCUUUUAUGACACAUAGACAUUUUAAUGCACAAGUAUAUCCAACUCUCUCAAUGGCACUAUCCACUAGGUUCACACAUGACCCGAGCUCGAUGCCCCUUCAUGACAUUAGCCCAAUUAUUCACAGAUAGCACAAGUCCCCGAGCCUCUUUAUGGCCUACUAAGAACCCUCAAGUUCAAUAUGGGAAUAACUUUAAAUGCAUGCAAAAGAUGCUCAUUUUCACAACGGGAUUUAUGAUUCCAAGUCUCAACGGGAUGCCAAACAUAUGCGAGUACCACAUGUUAGUUCUCUACUACAUGGAGGUCCAAACUUUCAUUACACAUAACAUAGACAUAUUAAGCAUCCUAAAAUUCACAAUAAAUAUAUCUAACAUGAUUAUGCAUGCUUUUCCAAUUAACGAUGCUUAUUUCAUCACAAAUGAGAAUUUCUCAUUAUAUGGCUAGGUCAAACCCACCGAACCGUCGCGUAGGGCCUCGUUUCACCGAACGAAAUUGUCCACGAGUCUCAAAAUACCCUAAAAGUAUUCAGCGAAGAGAUACAAGGGCAUUACGACCAACCAUUAGGUCAAACAUCAACAAACAAGGCAAAAGGGCUAAAACUCACCUCAAGAGAGGAAAUCUCUUCCAAAGCUCAAAAAGAGAGCUAGAACCCUUCCAAUCCAAGCCCAAGGAAGGUUCUAAACCAACUAAUUUAGCCCCAAAAGCCCUAGAUCAAAAAGCCCCAAAAAUCAACCAUAAUACCCACUCUAGGGUUCCAAAUGGUAAAACCUACCAAAUCAAGGAUCAAAGGGUAGAAUCCAAGUACUAACCUCCCAAGAUGCCUCCAAGCAAGCUCCAAAUCUUCUAGGGUUGAAGAUUGGUCCUCCACCAAGUUCUACAAGCAAGCUCUAAGCCUUGCAAGGGUGGAAAGGAGAGAAAGGGGUUGAGCUCCAAGCUCCCUCAAGCAAGCUCCUCUUCUUCUUCUCCUCCUUCUUCUCCUCCUUCUCUCUAUAGAAGGUGUAGGAAGGGGGUGAGAAUGAGAAAAUGGGAGAGGGAAGAGGAGGAAAUGGCUAAUAAGCCCAUCUAGUGUAACAAAAUCCGGAGAGGCCCCUCAAAAAUUUAAAUUUACAUCAGCCCGAACUGGGCAGUUUUCGCCCAGAGGGACCGGUCUCUCCCCAGCAGGGGCCGGUCUCUCUCUGCGAACCCGAAAAACCAUCGUUCGGGAACCGGUCUCUCCCUGCGCGGGACCGGUCUCUCACUGCGAAGGCGCGCUCGGGGACCGGUCUCGCCUGCCAGGGACCGGUUGCCUCAAGGCUGCCGCAACACUGCUCACUGGGGGACCGGUCUCUCCUUUCAGGGACCGGUCACCGAGAGUAAAAACUCUCAGGCCUUGUCCAAAAUUCCAGUUUUCGAACUUUUUAGGUCGGAAAACAUUCUACAACCCUCCACCAAGUGUGGAAAAGCUCGAAAUACAUCCAAGCACUCGAACCUCGCAAUUUGCAGAGGUCUAGUGUAUUACAGAGAGCCCUAGACCCUUCAAUGCUCCAAAUCCACCUUCAAAUUCUCUCCUUCCACGUGAGGAAGAGCUCCUAGAGAGAGAGAGAGGGAGAAAAAUAGGUUGAGAAGGUGUUCUCACUGCUAUGAAUGAGAGAGGAGUUGGGGCAUAUUUAUAAGCUGCUACAAUUGCAACCAAGCUCUCCAUUUCUUUUUAUUUGCAGCAGACUCAACCUGCUGUUCGCAGCACUGAGAACCAGUACGCGGGUGGGUGUCACCGGUUAAGACCCUAUUCAACAGCCCAACCCAAGAACUACUGUUCUCGAAUUGCUGCGGGGUACCGGUACGCCAUGGUGCUUCACCGGUUAAGCAGCUUGACAAAGGCCAAACCCGAGAGCUGCUGUUCUCCGGUUGCUGCAGAGUACCGGUACUGCCCUGGUACUUUACUGGUUAAGCAAUGCCUAGACUGCAGUUUUGGCGCGCCGAGUAAUGCUAAAACCCUUCUAACGCAUUCAGAACUCAACUCUAACCCUUCCAACAUUGUUGGAAUGCCAAAUGGACUUUGUCCAACUAUUCCUCUCACACACUUUGGUCAAUUUGACUAAAGUUCGAUAUAUUCUACCGAAGUUUCGGUAUAUUACAUUCUGCACCCCUUAAAAUUAGUUUCGUCCGCGAAACUAACACAUACCUUAGCUCGUCGACUCAAAUAGGUGAGGAUACAUCUUUCGCAUUGUCUCCUCAAGCUCCCAAGUGGCUUCACGCACUGCAUGAUUGCUCCACUGGACUUUAACGUAGGGGAUUGUGCGACUCCACAACUUCCUUUCUUCUUGAUCGAGAAUACACAUCGGAUAUUCCUCAUAGGUCAUAUCCUCGCGCAACUCCACCGGUUCAUACUCUAGCACAUGAGUCGAAUUGCGGAUAUACUUGCGGAGAUUUGACACAUGAAACACAUUGUGAACUCCUGCAAACCUCAGUGGUAAUGCAAGCUUGUACGCCACCGCACCGACCCACUCCAAUAUUUCGAACGGUCCAACAUACCGAGGACUUAAGCAUUCCACGGACUCCAAACCGCUUUACUCCUCCGGCUUGCGCCGUGCCCAAUGGCCCCGUGGUAGUCAACAUUCCCAUCCUAGGAACGAGCCUCCCCCACGGCAUCCCAUUUCGGUGCCCAAUCCCGCACGGGCGAGCUUAUAUCGCGAUGGCUAUCUCCGGAGUGUCGGCUUACGGGGAGCGACCCUCACAAGCAUGUGCGAAUGAGCACAAUGGCAAGCAAGCGUAAUCAUCCGUCUCAAGACCAAGUCAUCAUGUCUCAAACAUGGUAUAUAGGCUAAUAUCCCAAUGGCCUUACACUAUGUCAUUAAAUACAAGUUUACUCAUUUGCUAAGUUGAAUGCCACUUCAUAACAUUUAAAGUCCACUAUGUCAAGCAUAAGUUCUAUGUCCAAGAGCAUGAUAUUCUUGCCAUUUUCACUAACUGAAAAAUGAUUCCAAACCAUAUAAAAGAAUGCUAUACACUUGCAUGCAUACUAUAUGCAAAUCUCUCUACUACAUAGAUCAAAGAAAAUAUACAUGAACUUCUAUUUUUAGAACAAAGAAAAUAACAUAGGGGGGAUUUCACCUAUUUCGGUGAGGUCAAACCCACCAAGAGCUCCUUGGAAUCCUUCGUUAGCGCAAAAGAAGGUGUCCAGCCUCCUAGCUCCCUAAAGAAAAUUCUACAAGGGUUAGACGCAACGAACGAAUACCCCAAAGAUCAAACAUUAACCAACCCAAGAAAAUGGUAAAACUCACAUUGUAUGUUGAAAACCUCUCUCAAUCUCCAAAUGAGAGUUAGAACCCUUCUAAUCCAACCAAAAUGAAGGUUCUACACCUAUCAAAUAAGCCCUAAAAGCCACAAAUCAAAAAUCCCCAAUUAAAACCCUAGAUUCUCAUUUCUAGAUUUUCAUCUCGAAAACUCUACCAAAACAAGAUCUAAAGAGUAGAUCUAAGAUACUAACCUCUCAAUAAGCUCCAAUCCAAGCUUGGAAUGAGCUAUGGUUGAAGAUUGAUCCUCUAGAAAGCUCCUCUCCUCAAUCCAAAGCUUCUCCAAUAGUGGAAAUCCAACAUGAAGCAAAGAGGAGGAAAAAAAAAGAGAUCAAACCAAGCAAAAAUCAAGAAAAAUGGGAGAAAAACCAAGGGCGAGGAGUUCUACUUGGUUCUCAGCCAUCCAAGGGGCUGUGAGGGGUUAAAUAGAGAUGUAACAAUCUCAAAAAAACCUUCCAAUAACGUGCAGUCAGCACUGCACUGCGUACCGGUACGCGGGGAAGAGUACCGGUACCACGCAGCAGCUUGCGCAAACCCGAGCCUGGGGUUGGCGAGAAAAUGCAUUGGGUACUAGUACCCGCCCGAUGCAGCACCGGUACCAGAUCCAGUUCCGGUACCAGGUCAAUGCAGUACCGGUACUCAGCCUAGCAGAGGCAAACUCGAGAGCAGCCCAAUAUCCUGCACUUUAGAGGUUUGGGACUAAGUUUUAAACCUUGCUCCUCGGGAUGCGAGCCAUAGGUCGGAACACAGUCUACGACCUUCCAGAAUAUCUGGAAAAACUCAAAACGCAGAUCAAACACUUGAACCUUAUAAUUUGCUAAAGUUCAAUGUGUUACAGCUUCUACCGCACUUGGUUCAAUGUACAUGUCGACAACUCGGGGAAAUCUACUAUCCCUAUGUUCAUCAUGUCAUAAGUGUUUCUACUACACUAAAUUCACAUGCCACUCGUCUAGGUCAUCAUAUAAUUUUAGAUGCCACUCGUUAUGUCAUUACCUAUACAUCAAGUUCAUCACUUGUUUUCGGCACUAUAGGAUUCAAUGUCAAUCCAAUCCUUACACAUCCACUAUAUUAUGUGUUCAACUCAAAAUGCAAUAUCAACUAUGGAAGCAUAUAAGGAAUGGAAAUGUAACUAUUAACAUCCUACAAUGCAUAAACAACAUGAAAGAUGCAUGGUCAACGAUGUAACAUCGACAUAGAAUGAAGCUCGAUUGCUUUGGAUAGCACCCCCCACCUCUAAAUAAUGCCGAGGUGCGAGAAUACGAAGCUCGAAAUUUUUAGACGUUGUUUCGGCCGUAUCCGGCGGAAACGAAGCAAAAACGGUCAUUUUCUUCAAUACCGUGCCACAUGCCCGUAGGAACUCCCGUUUGAGUUGCCCACAACGUCGAUUUUACCUUCAAUUAGGUUUACAAAAGGUAAAUUUAACCAUAAACCUCAUAUCUAUGAAAACCCCAAUUUCAACACUAGGGUUCCCCUAGCAUGAACAACAUGGGUUUUGCAUGAGAUUCCAAGGUCUCUCUUAGGUUUUCUUUCAUGUAAGAAGAUCAAAACCAAGUGUUCUAGGGUAUAAAUCCAAACCCAAACCAAGAUCUUACAAGAAACCUCACCUUAGCCUAUGAACACCACAAGCUCCACCUUGUAGGAGGGCUCUUCACCUUCAAAAGUCUUAAAUCUCCUUCAAAUCCUCCUUCAAUCUCCUCCAAUCCACCUUGGGAGAGAGUUCCUAGAGAGAGAGAGAGAAAUGAGAGAGGAGGAGUGUUCCCAGCUUAUGAACAAGAGAGGGGGAGAUGGGGUCCUCUUAUAUGUUCACACAAUUGCAAAUAAGCCCUCCAUUUUAUUUUAUUUGCAGCAGAUCAACCCUACUGUUCGUGGCGCUAGGUACUGGUACGCGGGCUCGCUUCACCGGUACACCGCUCAGCAGAAGCCAAAAAUUUUGUAUUGAACACGGUGAAUGGUUCACCGUGUUCAACUUAAACACCUGGGCCCGCCCUGCCCACGUGGCGCUGACGUGGCGCUGGCGUGGCAGGGGUAGGGCCAUUUUUGCAAAUAAUUUUUGGACGGGGCUAUUUUUACAAAUAAAAUUUGUCAGGGGGCUAUUUGCAAAAAAAGCCCUAUAUGUAUGUAUGUAUAUGUAUGUAUAUAUGUAUGUAUGUAUAUGUAUGUAUAUAUGUAUGUAUGUAUAUGUAUGUAUAUGUAGACCUGGCAAUCUCGACCCAAACCCGCGGAUACCCGCGGGUUACCCACAAAAUUGCGGGUAUGGGUACCAACUUUUCCUACCCAAAAAAUUAUGGGUAAAAUAGGUGGGUACCCAUUAAGUUGUGGGCAUUCUGGGUAACCCGCGGGUACCUACGGGUACCCGCAUGUAUAUUUUUAAUUAAAAAAAAUAUAUUUUUUGUUUACCCAUCCUAAAAACCCUAAACCUAAUUUCCUUUCGUUUAUCUUU
rnacentral:lncRNA from 1 species